rnacentral:lncRNA from 1 species
UUAUAUCAGGUCUGGUACACAGCAUGGCAUACAUUAGAGAGCCCACGGCUGAAGCGUAGGGGACAAAACUCAUCUUCUCUCUAUCUGCUGCCGUGGUAAAACUGGCAAGAACCCUUUCUUUGAGUUUUCCAUAUUGAACUUCUUCAAUAUCUUGUCAAGGUAUGUACUUUGCGAAAGACCUAUGAGGCGUCUUGAUCUAUCUCUAUAGAUCUUGAUGCCUAAUAUGUAUGCAGCUUCUCCAAGGUUCUUCAUUGAAAAACUCUUGUUCAAAUAGGCCUUUAUGCUCUCCAACAUCUCUAUAUUAUUCCCCAUCAACAAUAUGUCAUCCACAUACAAAACCUUCUGGUUGCAUCAUAUACAACUCUUCCUUAGGGUCGACAAAACCUUCUGGUUGCAUCAUAUACAACUCUUCCUUAAGGUUCCCGUUAAGGAACGCUGUUUUGACGUCCAUUUGCCAAAUUUCAUAAUCAUAAAAGGCGGCAAUUGCAAACAUGAUUCGGACUGAUUUCAGCUUCGCUACGGGAGAGAAAGUCUCUUCGUAGUCAACUCCUUGAAUUUGUCGAAAACCCUUUGCGACAAGUCGAGCUUUGUAAACGGUUACAUUACCGUUUGCAUCAGUCUUCUUCUUGAAGAUCAAUUUAUUUUCUAUGGCUCGCCGGUCAUCGGGCAAGUCCACCAAAGUCCAUACUUUGUUCUCAUACAUGGAUCCUAUCUCGGAUUUCAUAGCCUUAAGCCAUUUGUUGGAAUCCGGGCCCGCCAUCGCUUCUUCAUAGUUCGAAGGUUCACCGUUGUCUAACAACAUGAUUUCCAUCACAGGGUUGCCGUACCACUCUGGUGCGGAGCGUGCCCUUGUGGACCUUCGUGGUUCAGUAGCAACUUGAUCCGAAGCUUCAUGAUCAUCAUCAUUAAGUUCCUCUACAGUUGGUGUAGGCGCCAUAGAAACAACUUCCCGUGCUGCGCUACUAUCCUGUUCGAGAGGGGGGUGUAAUUACCUCAUCAAGUUUUACCUUCCUCCCACUUACUUCUUUCGAGAGAAACUCUUUCUCUAGAAAGGAUCCGUUCUUGGCAACAAAGGUUUUACCUUCGGAUCUAAGAUAGAAGGUAUACCCAAUAGUUUCCUUAGGGUAUCCUAUGAAUACGCAUUUCUCCGCUUUGGGUUCGAGCUUUUCUGGUUGAAGUUUCUUCACAUAAGCAUCGCAGCCCCAAACAUUAAGAAGCGACAACUUAGGUUUCUUGCCAAACCAUAGUUCAUACGGUGUCGUCUUAACGGAUUUAGACGGUGCCCUAUUUAAAGUGAAUGCUGCAGUUUCUAAUGCGUAUCCCCAAAAUGAUAGCGGUAAGUCGGUGAGAGACAUCAUAGAUCGUACCAUAUCUAAUAAAGUGCGAUUACGACGUUCAGACACUCCGUUGCGCUGCGGUGUGCCAGGCGGCGUCAGUUGUGAAACGAUUCCACACUUCCUUAGGUGUGUGCCAAACUCGUGACUCAAAUAUUCUCCUCCAUGAUCAGAUCGUAGACAUUUAAUUUUUCUGUCACGUUGAUUCUCAACCUCAUUCUGAAAUUCCUUGAACUUUUCAAACGUCUCAGAUUUGUGCUUCAUCAAGUAGAUAUACCCAUACCUACUCAAAUCAUUGGUGAGAGUGAGAACAUAACGAUAACCACCGCGAGCUUCAACGUUCAUUGGACCACACACAUCAGUAUGUAUUAUUUCCAAUAAGUCGGUUGCUCUCUCCAUUAUUCCUGAGAAUGGAGUCUUAGUCAUCUUGCCCAUGAGGCACGGUUCACAUGUGUCAAAUGAUUCAAAGUCAAGAGACUCUAAUAGUCCAUCAAAAUGGAGCUUCUUCAUGCGCUUAAUGCCGAUAUGACCAAGGCGGCAGUGCCACAAGUAUGUGGGACUAUCAUUAUCAACUUUGCAUCUUUUGGUACUCACACUAUGAAUAUGUGUAACAUCACGAUCGAGAUUCAUCAGGAAUAAACCAUUCACCAGCAGAGCAUGACCAUAAAACAUACCACUCAUAUAAAUAGAACAACCAUUAUUCUCUGACUUAAAUGAGUAGCCGUCUCGCAUUAAGCAAGACCCUGAUACAAUGUUCAUGCUUAAAGCUGGUACUAAAUAACAAUUAUUAAGGUUUAAAACUAAUCCCGACGGUAGAUGUAGAGGUAGCGUGCCGACGGCGAUCACAUCGACCUUUGAACCAUUCCCGACGCGCACCGUCACCUCGUCCUUGGCCAGUCUCUGCUUAUUCCGUAGUUCCUGCUUUGAGUUGCAAAUGUGAGCAACAACACCGGUAUCAAAUACCCAGGAGCUACUACGAGCGCUGGUAAGGUACACAUCAAUAACAUGUAUAUCACAUAUACCUUUAACGUUGCCGGCCUUCUUGUCCGCUAAGUAUUUGGGGUAGUUCCGCUUCCAGUGACCCUUUCCCUCGCAAUAGAAGCACUCAGUCUCAGGCUUGGGUCCGUUCUUUUUCUUCUUCCCGGCAUCUGGCUUACCGGGCGCGGCAACAGCUUUGCCGUCUUUCUUGAAGUUCUUCUUACCCUUGCCUUUCUUGAAACUAGUGGUCUUGUUGACCAUCAACACUUGAUGCUCUUUCUUGAUUUCUACUUCUGCAGACUUGAGCAUCGAGUACAACUCGGGAAUGGUCUUCUCCAUCCCUUGCAUGUUGUAGUUAAGCACAAAGCCUUUGUAGCUUGGUGGGAGAGAUUGGAGGAUUCUGUCAAUUAUAGCAUCAUCCGGAAGUUCGACUCCAAGUGAAGUCAGACGACCGUGUAACCCAGACAUUUUUAGUAUGUGCUCACUGACAGAACUGUUCUCCUCCAUCUUACAGCUAAAGAACUUGUCGGAGACUUCAUAUCUCUCGACAUGGGCAUGAGCUUGAAAAACUAGCUUCAGCUCCUGGAACAUCUCAUAUGCCCCGUGUUGCUCAAAACGCCUUUGGAGCCCCGUUUCUAAACUGUAUAACAUGCGACACCUAACCAGAGAGUAGUCAUCACUCCGCGUUUGCCAGACGUUCAGAAUGUCCUGGGCUGCUGCGGGAGCGGGAGGGUCACCUAGCGGCGCAUCAAGGACAUAAGCCUUUUUAGAUGCUUCAAGGAUGAGCUUCAAGAUGCGAACUCAGUCCGCAUAGUUGCUACCAUCAUCUUUCAGCUUGUUUUUCUCUAGGAAUGCGUUGAAAUUGAGGUUGACGUUGGACAUCUACAAUAUUUAUAAAGACAACUUUUAGACUAAGUUCAUGACAAUUAAGUUCAUUUAAUCAAAUUAAGUAUGAACUCCCACUUAAAUCGACAUCCCUCUAGUCAUCUAAGUGAUACAUGAUCCAUGUUGACUAACCCGUGUCCGAUCAUCACGUGAGACGGACUAGUCACCAUGGUGAGCAACUUCAUGCUGAUCGUAUUCAACCAUACGACUCAUGUUCGACCUUUCGGUCUCUUGUAUUCGAGGUCAUGUCUGUACAUGCUAAGCUCGUCGAGUCAACCUAGGUGUUUUGCGUGUGUAAAUCUGGCUUACACCCGUUGUAUGCGAACGUUAGAAUCUAUCACACACGAUCAUCACGUGGUGCUUCGAGACAACGAACCUUCGCAACGGUGCACACUUAGGGGAAUACGUUCUCAAAAUUUUAAGAGGGAUCAUCUUAUUAUGCUACCGUCGUUCUAAGCAAUAAGAUGAAAACAUGAUAAACAUCACAAUGCAAUCAUAUAGUGACAUGAUAUGGCCAUUAUCAUCUUUGCUCUUUCGAUCUCCAUCUUCAGGCAUCGCAUGAUCAUCAUCGUCACCGGCGUGACACCAUGAUCUCCAUCAUCGUGUCUCCGUGAAGUCGUCACGCCAACUACUACUAUCACUACUACUAUAGCUAACCGUUAGCAAUGAAGUAAAAGUAGUAAGCACAUGGCGUUGCAUCUCAUACAAUAAAUUAAGACAACUCCUAUGGCUCCUGCCGGUUGUCAUACUCAUCGACCUGCAAGUCGUGAAACCUAUUACAAUAACAUGAUCAUCUCAUACAUCAUACAUGCAACAUCACAACUUUGGCCAUAUCACAUCACAUGGCAAACCCUCCAAAAACAAGUUAGACGUCCUCUAAUUGUUGUUGCAAGUUUUACGUGGCUGAUUUGGGUUUCUAGCAAGAACGCCUUCUUACCUACGUGACAGCCACAACGAUGAUAUGCCAAAGCUAUUUACCCUUCAUAAGGACCCUUUUCAUCAAAUCCAAUCCGACUAGAGUAGGAGAGACAGACACCCGCCAGCCACCUUUAUGCACGGUGUGCAUGUCUGUCGGUGGAACCAGUCUCACGUAAGCGUACGUGUAAAGUUGGUCCGGGCCGCUUCAUCCCACCAUACCGCCGGAAAAUAAUAAGACUAGUAACAACAAGCAAAUUGACAAAUCAUCGCCCACAACUUUUGUGUUCUACUCGUGCAUAGAAUCUACGCAUAGAAAACCUGGCUCUGAUGCCACUGUGGGUAAUGUAGCAUAAAUUCAAAAUUUUCCUACGCAUAUUCAGAUCUUCCUAUGGAGAGACCAGCAACGAGAGAGGGGUAAGAGCAUCUUCAUACCUUUGAAGAUCGCUAAGCGGAAGCGUUGCUAGAACGCGGUUGAUGGAGUCGUACUCGCAGCGAUUCCGAUCUAGUGCCGAACUACGACACCUCCGCGUUCAACACACGUGCAGCCCGGUGACGUCUCCCGCACCUUGAUCCAGCAAGGAGGAGGGAGAGGUUGGGGAAGAACUCCAGCAGCACGACGGCGUGGUGUCGAUGGAGAGACGAGGUCUCCCGGCAAGGCUUCGCCAAGCACCGGCAGAGAGGAGGAGGAAGAGGGGCAGGGCUGCGCCGAGAGAGAGAGAGAACCGUGUGUCUCAAUGGCCAAAACCCCUCGAUAUUUAUAGGAGGAGGGGGAGGGGGUGCUCCACCCCUAGGGUUCCCCCCUAGGUGGUGCGGCAGCCACCAGAUGGGAGGGGGGUGGCGGCCAGGGCAGGAAAAGGGGGGGGGGCGCACCCUAGGUGGGCCUUGGGCCUCACCUGCGCCUAGGGUUUCCCCCUCCCCCCUUCUCUAGUGCGGACGGGCUGGGUGUGUUGGGGAACGUCGCAUGGGAAACAAAAAUUUUCCUACGCGCACGAAGACCUAUCAUGGUGAUGUCCAUCUACGAGAGGGGAUAUUCGAUCUACGUACCCUUGUAGAUCGCACAGCAGAAGCGUUAAGAAACACGGUUGAUGUAGUGGAACGUCCUCACGUACCUCGAUCCGCCCCGCGAACCGUCCCGCGAUUAGUCCCACGAUCUAGUGCCGAACGGACGGCACCUCCGCGUUCAGCACACGUACAGCUCGACGAUGAUCUCGGCCUUCUUGAUCCAGCAAGAGAGACGGAGAGGUAGAUGAGUUCUCCGGCAGCGUGACGGCGCUCCGGAGGUUGGUGGUGCUCUAAUCUCAGCAGGGCUCCGCCCGAGCUCCGCAGAAACGCGAUCUAGAGGAAAAACCGUGGAGGUAUGUGGUCGGGCUGCCGUGGCAAAAGUUGUCUCAAAUCAGCCCUAAAACCCCACUAUAUAUAGGAGGGAGGGAGGGGAGGAGGCAGCCUCAAAACCUAAAGGUUUGGCCCAAAUUGGAGGUGGAGAAGUCCUACUCCAAUCCUACUUGGAGUAGGAUUCCACCUUCCCACUUGGAAACUCUUUUCACCUUGUGUUUUUUCCUUCUCAAACCUUAUGGGCCUUAGUGGGAACUUAUUCCAGCCCACUAGGGGCUGGUUUAUCUCUUCCCAUAGCCCAUGAGACCCCUUGGGGCGUGACACCCCUCCUGAUGGUCCCCGGCACCCCUCCCGGCACUCCCAGUACACUACCGAUGAGCCCGAAACUUUUCCGGUAAUGCACGAAAACCUUUCGGUAACCAAAUGAGGUCAUCCUAUAUAUCAAUCUUUGUUUCCGGACCAUUCCGGAAAGCCUCGUGACGUUCGUGAUCUCAUCCGGGACUCCGAACAACAUUCGGUAACCAACCAUAUAACUCAAAUACGCAUAAAACAACGUCGAACCUUAAGUGUGCAGACCGUGCUGGUUCGAGAACUAUGUAGACAUGACCCGAGAGACUCCUCGGUCAAUAUCCAAUAGCGUGACCUGGAUGCCCAUAUUGGAUCCUACAUAUUCUACGAAGAUCUUAUCGUUUGAACCUCAGUGCCAAGGAUUCAUAUAAUCCCGUAUGUCAUUCCCUUUGUCCUUCGGUAUGUUACUUGCCCGAGAUUCUAUCAUCAGUAUCCGCAUACCUAUUUCAAUCUCGUUUUACCGGCAAGUCUCUUUACUCGUUCCGUAAUACAAGAUCCCGUAACUUACAGUAAGUCACAUUGCUUGCAAGGCUUGUGUGUGAUGUUGUAUUACCGAGUGGGCCCCGAGAUACCUCUCCGUCACACGGAGUGACAAAUCCCAGUCUCGAUCCAUACUAACUCAACGAACACCUUCGGAGAUACCUGUAGAGCAUCUUUAUAGUCACCCAGUUACGUUGUGACGUUAGAUACCCACAAAGCAUUCCUCCGGUGUCCGUGAGUUAUAUGAUCUCAUGGUCAUAGGAACAAAUACUUGACACGCAGAAAACAGUCGCAACAAAAUGACACGAUCAACAUGCUACGUCUAUUAGUUUGGGUCUAGUCCAUCACAUGAUUCUCCUAAUGAUGUGAUCCCGUUAUCAAGUGACAACACUUGCCUAUGGCCAGGAAACCUUGACCAUCUUUGAUCAACGAGCUAGUCAACUAGAGGCUUACUAGGGACAGUGUUUUGUCUAUGUAAGCACACAAGUAUUGUGUUUCCAAUCAAUACAAUUAUAGCAUGGAUAAUAAACGAUUAUCAUGAACUAAGAAAUAUAAUAAUAACUAAUUUAUUAUUGCCUCUAGGGCAUAUUUCCAACAGUCUCCCACUUGCACUAGAGUCAAUAAUCUAGUUCACAUCACCAUGUGAUUCCAACGAAUCCAACACCCAUAUAGUUAUGGGGUCUGAUCACGUCUUGCUCGUGAGAGAGGUAUUAGUCAACGGUUCUGAAACUUUCAGAUCCGUGCGUUCUUUACAAAUAUUAAUGUCAUCUUAUAGAUGCUGCUACUACGUGCUAUUCGGAAAUGCUCCAAAUAUCUACUCUACUAUACGAAUCCGUUUCACUACUCAUAGUUAUUCGGAUUAGUGUCAAAGCUUGCAUCGACGUAACCCUUUACGACGAACUCUUUAAACACCUCCAUAAUCGAGAAAAAUUCCUUAGUCUAUUUAGUUACUAAGGAUAACUUUGACCGCUGAUCAGUGAUUCAAUCCUGGAUCACUCUGUGUACCUCUUAACAGACUUGCUGCAAGGCACACAUCAGGUGCGGUACUCAGCAUGGCAUACUUUAGAGUCUACGGCUAAGGCAUAGAAGAAGACCUUCGUCUAUUCUCUUUAUUCUGCCAUGGUUGGGUUAUGAGUCUUACUCAAAUUCACACCUUACAACACCGUCAAGAACUCCUUCUUUGCUGAUCUAUUUCGAAUUCCUUCAAAAACUUGUCAAUGCAUGCAUCUUGUUGAAACUUCUAUUAAGUGUUUUGAUCUAUCUCCAUAGAUCUUGAUGCUCAACGUUCAAGUAGCUCAAUCAAGGUAUUCCUUUGAAAAACUCCUUUCAAACAACCUUUUAUGCUUCACAGAAAUUCUACAUUACUUCUGAUCAACAAUAUGUCAACCACAUAUACUUAUCAGAAAUUCUAUAGUGCUCCUACUCACUUCUUUGGAAAUACAAGUUUCUCAUAAACCUUGUACAAACCCAAAAUCUUUGAUCAUCUCAUCAAAGUGUAUAUUCCAACUCCGAGAUGCUUGCACCAGUCCAUUGAAGGAUCACUGGAGCUUGCAUGCUUGCUAGUAUCUUUAGGAUCGACAAAACCUCCUGGUUGUAUCACAUACAAUGUUUGCUCAAGGAAACCGUCGAGGAAACAAUGUUUUGACAUCCUACGUGCAAUAUUUCAUAAGUAAUGCAGCAACUACUAACAUAAUUCUAACAGACUUUUAGCAUCGCUACGAGUGAGAAAGUCUCAUCAUAGUCAACUGUUUGAUCUUGUCGGAAACAUCUUUGCGACAAGUCGAGCUUUUCUUAAUAGUGACUUAUCACCAUCGUUGUCUGUCUUCCUUUUAAAGAUCCAUCUUUACUUAAUAGUCCUAUGACCAUCAAGUAGUUCUUCCAAAGUCUACACUUUGUUUUCAUACAUGGAUCCUCUCUCGGAUUUCAUGGCUUCCAGCCAUUUGUCGGAAUCCGGGCCCACCAUUGCUUUCCCCAUAACUCGUAGGUUCACUGUUGCUCAACAACAUGACCUCCAAGACAGGGUUACCGUACCACUCUGCAGAAGUACGUGACCUUGUCAACCUACGAGGUUUGUAGUAACUUGAUCCAAUGCUCGAUGAUCACCAUCAUCAGCUUUCACUUCAAUUGGUGUAGGCGCCACAGGAACAACUUCCUGCGCCCUGCUACACACUGGUUGAAGUGAUGGUUCAAUAACCUCAUCAAGUUCCACCACCCUCCCACUCAAUUCUUUCGAGAGAAACCCUUCCUCGAGAAAGGAUCCGUUUCUAGAAACAAACACUUUGCUUUCGGAUCUGAGAUAGGAGAUGUACCCAACUGUUUUGGAUAUCCUAUGAAGAUGCAUUUAUCCGCUUUGGGUUCGAGCUUAUCAGACUAAAACUUUUUCACAUAAGUGUCGAAGCCCCAAACUUUCAAGAAACGAUAGUUUAGAUUUCUCUAAACCUCAGUCUAUACUGUGUCAUCUCAACGGAAAUACGCGGUGCCCUAUUUAAAGUGAAUGCGGUUGUCUCUAAUGCAUAACCCAUAAACAAUAGUGGUAAUUCGAUAAGAGACAUCAUAGCAUGCACCAUACCAAAUAGUGCGUGGCUAUGAUGUUCAGACACAUCAUCACACUAUGAUGUUCCAGGUGGCAUGAACUGCGAAACAAUUUCCACAUUGUCUUAACUGCGUACCAAAACUCGUAACUCAGAUAUUCAUUUCUAUGAUCAUAUUGUAGACAUUUUAUCCUCUUGUUACGACGAACUUCACUCCUGAAACAGAAUUGAACCUUUCAAUAUUUCAGACUUGUGAUUCAUUAAGUAAAUACUCUUGUAUCUGCUCAAAUCGUCAUUGAAGUAAGAACAUAAUGAUAUCCACUGCGUGCCUCAGCACCUAUUGGACUGCAUACAUCAAAAUGAAUCACUUCCAACAAGUUACUAUCUUGUUUCAUCUCAAUGAAAACAAGGCCUUGCUCAUGUGGUAUGAUUUGCAUGUCACUAGUGAUUCAAAAUCAAGUGAGUAUCAAGAUCCAUCAGCAUGGAGCCUCUUCAUGCAAUUUAUACCAACAUGACUCAAGUGGCAGUGCCACAAGUAAGUGGUACUAUCAUCAUUUCCUCGUAUAUUUUGGCACCAAUAUCAUGAACAUGUGUAACACUACGAUCGAGAUUCAAUAAACCAUUGAAGGUGAUUAUUCAAGCAAAUAGAGUAACCAUUAUUCUCUUUAAAUGAAAUCGUAUUGCAAUAAACACGAUCCAAUCAUGUUCAUGCUUAACACAAGCACCAAUAACAAUUAUUUAGGUUUAACACCAAUCCCGAUGGUAGAGGGAGUGUGCGAUGUUUGAUCAUAUCAACCUUGGAAACACUUCCAACACGUAUCGUCACCUCGCCUUUAGCUAGUCUCCGUUUAUGCCGUAGCUUUCAUUUCGUGUUACUAAUCACUUAGCAACCGAACCGAUAUCCAAUACCCUCGUGCUACUAGGAGUACUAGUAAAGUACACAUCAACAUCAUGUAUAUCAAAUAUACUUCUUUCGACUUUUGCCAGCCUUCUUAUCUACCAAGUAUCUAGAGUUGCUCCGCCUCAAUGACCGUUCCCCUCAUAGCAGAAGCACUUAGUCCCGGGCUUGGGUUUAAUCUGGGGUCUCUUCAUUAGUGCAACAACUGCUUUGCCGUUUCACGAAGUAUCCCUUCUAGCCCUUGCCUUUCUCGAAACUUAGUGGUUUUACUAACCAUCAACUAUUGAUGCUCCUUCUUGAUUUCAACUUUCGCAAUGUCAAACAUCACGAAUCGCUCAAGGAUCAUUGUAUCUAUCCUUGAUAUGUUAUAGUUCAUCACGAAGCUCUCACAGCUUGGUGGCAGUGACUUUGGAGAACCAUCACUAUCUUAUCUGGAAGAUCAACUCCCACUUGAUUCAAGCGAUUGUCGUACUCAGAUAAUCUGAGCACACGCUCAAUGAUUGAGCUUUUCUCCUCUACUUCGUGGACAAAGAAUCUUGUCGGAGGUCUCAUACCUCUUAACAAGGGCACAAGCAUGAAAUCACAAUUUCAUCUCUUUAGAAAAUCUCUUAUGUUCCGUGACGUUUCAAAACGUCUUCAGCGCCUUGCUUCUAAGCCAUUAAGUAUUUUGUACUGAACUAUCGUGUAGUCAUCAGAAACGUGUAUGUCGGAUGUUCACAACAUCUACAAACGACGCUCGAGGUGCAGCACACCAAGUGGUGCAUUAAGGACAUAAGCCUUCUGCGCAGCAACGAGGACAAUCCUCGGCUUUACAGACUGAGACUGCAAAGUUUGCUACUAUCAACUUUCAACUAAAUUUUCUCUAGGAACAUAUAAAACAGUAGAGCUAUAGCGCAAGCUACAACGUAAGUCGCAAAGACCAUUAGACUAUGUUCAUGACAAUUAGUUCAAUUAAUCAUAUUACUUAAGAACUCCCACUCAAAAAGUACAUCUCUCUAGUCAUUUGAGUGGUACAUGAUCCAAAUCCACUAUCUCAAGUCCGAUCAUCACGUGAGUCGAGAAUAGUUUCAGUGGUAAGCAUCUCUAUGCUAAUCAUAUCAACUAUAUGAUUCAUGCUCGACCUUUUGGUCUCAUGUGUUCUAAGGCCAUGUCUGCACAUGCUAGGCUCGUCAAGCUUAACCCGAGUGUUCCGCGUGUGCAACUGUUUUGCACCCGUUGUAUGUGAACGUUGAGUCUAUCACACCCGAUCAUCACGUGGUGUCUCGAAACGAAGAACUGUCGCAACGGUGCAAAGUCGGGGAGAACACAAUUUCGUCUUGAAAUUUUAGUGAGAGAUCACCUCAUAAUGCUACCGUCGUUCUAAGCAAGAUAAGGUGCAUAAAGGAUUAACAUCACAUGCAAUUCAUAAGUGACAUGAUAUGGCCAUCAUCAUGUGCUUCUUGAUCUCCAUCACCAUAGCACCGGCACGAUCUUCUUGUCACCGACGUCACACCAUGAUCUCCAUCAACGUGUCGCCAUCGGGGUUGUCGUGCUACUCAUGCUAUUACUACUAAAGCUACGUCCUAGCAAUAUAGUAAACACAUCUGCAAGCACAAACGUUAGUUUAAAGACAACCCUAUGGCUCCUGCCGGUUGCCGUACCAUCGACGUGCAAGUCGAUAUUAACUAUUACAACUUGAUCAUCUCAUACAUCCAAUAUAUCACAUCACAUCGUUGGCCAUAUCACAUCACAAGCAUACCCUGCAAAAACAAGUUAGACGUCCUCUAAUUUUGUUGUUGCAUGUUUUACGUGGUGACCAUGGGUAUCUAGUAGGAUCGCAUCUUACUUACGCAAACACCACAACGGAGAUAUAUGAGUUGCUAUUUAACCUCAUCCAAGGACCUCCUCUGUCAAAUCCGAUUCAACUAAAGUUGGAGAAACUGACACCCGCCAGUCAUCUUUGAGCAACGGAGUUACUCGUAGCGAUGAAACCAGUCUAUCGUAAGCGUACGAGUAAUGCCGGUCCGAGCCGCUUCGAUCCAACAAUACCGCGGAAUCAAGAAAAGACUAAGGAGGGCAGCAAAACGCACAUCACCGCCCACAAAAACUUUUGUGUUCUACUCGAGAAGACAUCUACGCAUGAACCUAGCUCAUGAUGCCACUGUUGAGGAACAUCGCAUGGGAAACAAAAAAUUUCCUACGCGCAUGAAGACCUAUCAUGGUGAUGUCCAUCUACGAGAGGGGAUAUUCGAUCUACGUACCCUUGUAGAUCGCACAUCAGAAGCAUUAAGAAACGCGGUUGAUGUAGUGGAACGUCCUCACGUCCCUCGAUCCGCCCCGCGAACCGUCCCGCGAUUAGUCCCACGAUCUAGUGCCGAACGGACGGCACCUCUGCGUUCAGCACAAGUACAACUCGACGAUGAUCUUGGCCUUCUUGAUCCAGCAAGAGAGACGGAGAGGUAGAUGAGUUCUCCGGCAGCGUGACGGCGCUCCGGAGGUUGGUGGUGAUCUAAUCUCAGCAGGGCUCCGCCCGAGCUCCGCAGAAAUGCGAUCUAGAGGAAAAACCGUGGAGGUAUGUGGUCGGGCUGCCGUGGCAAAAGUUGUCUCAAAUCAGCCCUAAAAGCCCACUAUAUAUAGGAGGGAGGGAGGGGAGGAGGCAGCCUCAAAACCUAAAGGUUUGGCCCAAAUUGGAGGUGGAGGAGUCCUACUCCCAUCCUACUUGGAGUAGGAUUCCACCUUCCCACUUGGAAACUCUUUUCACCUUGUGUUUUUUCCUUCUCAAACCUUAUGGGCCUUAGUGGGAACUUAUUCCAGCCCACUAGGGGCUGGUUUAUCUCUUCCCAUAGCCCAUGAGACCCCUUGGGGCGUGACACCCCUCCUGAUGGUCCCCGGCACUCCCAGUACACUAUCGAUGAGCCCGAAACUUUUCGGGUAAUGUACGAAAACCUUUCGGUAACCAAAUGAGGUCAUCCUAUAUAUCAAUCUUCGUUUCCGGACCAUUCCGGAAAGCCUCGUGACGUCCGUGAUCUCAUCCAGGACUCCGAACAACAUUCGGUAACCAACCAUAUAACUCAAAUACGCAUAAAACAACGUCGAACCUUAAGUGUGCAGACCCUGCGGGUUCGAGAACUAUGUAGACAUGACCCGAGAGACUCCUCGGUCAAUAUCCAAUAGCGGGACCUGGAUGCCCAUAUUGGAUCCUACAUAUUCUACGAAGAUCUUAUCGUUUGAACCUCAGUGUCAAGGAUUCAUAUAAUCCCGUAUGUCAUUCCCUUUGUCCUUCGGUAUGUUACUUGCCCGAGAUUCGAUCGUCAGUAUCCGCAUACCUAUUUCGAUCUCGUUUUACCGGCAAGUCUCUUUACUCGUUCCGUAAUACAAGAUCCCGUAACUUACACUAAGUCACAUUGCUUGCAAGGCUUGUGUGUGAUGUUGUAUUACCGAGUGGGCCCCGAGAUACCUCUCCGUCACACGGAGUGACAAAUCCCAGUCUCGAUCCAUACUAACUCAACGAACACCUUCGGAGAUACCUGUAGAGCAUCUUUAUAGUCACCCAGUUACGUUGCGACGUUUGAUACACACAAAGCAUUCCUCCGGUGUCCCUGAGUUAUAUGAUCUCAUGGUCAUAUGAACAAAUACUUGACACGCAGAAAACAGUAGCAACAAAAUGACACGAUCAACAUGCUACGUCUAUUAGUUUGGGUCUAGUCCAUCACAUGAUUCUCCUAAUGAUGUGAUCCCGUUAUCAAGUGACAAUACUUGCCUAUGGCCAGGAAACCUUGACCAUCUUUGAUCAACGAGCUAGUCAACUAGAGGCUUACUAGGGACAGUGUUUUGUCUAUGUAUCCACACAAGUAUUGUGUUUCCAAUCAAUACAAUUAUAGCAUGGAUAAUAAACGAUUAUCAUGAACUAAGAAAUAUAAUAAUAACUAAUUUAUUGUUGCCUCUAGGGCAUAUUUCCAACAGGGUGGGGGACGCACCAGCCCACCUAGGGGCUGGUUCCCACCCCCACUUAGCCCAUCUAGCCUCCCGGGGUCGUUGCCCCCCUUCGGUGGUCCCCCGGGGCCACCUCCGGUGGUCCCGGUGGUCCCGGUACAUUACCGGUGACGCCCGAAACACUUCCGGUGUCCAAAACCAUCCGUCCUAUAUAUCAAUCUUUACCUCCGGACCAUUCCGGAGCUCCUCGUGAUGUCCGGGAUCUCAUCCGGGACUCCGAACAACUUUCGGUAACCUCGUAUAAUAAUUCCCUAUAACGCUAGCGUCACCGAACCUUAAGUGUGUAGACCCUAUGGGUUCGGGAGACAGGCAGACAUGACCGAGACACCUCUCUAGCCAAUAACCAUCAGCGGGGUCUGGAUACCCAUGGUGGCUCCCACUAGCUCCACGAUGAUCUCAUCGGAUGAACCACGAUGUCAAGGAUUCAAUCAAUCCCGUAUACGAUUCCCUUUGUCUGUCGGUAUAGAACUUGCCCGAGAUUUGAUCGUCGGUAUACCUAUACCUUGUUCAAUCUCGUUACCGGUAAGUCUCUUUACUCGUUCCGUAGCACGUCAUCGUGUGACUAACUCCUUAGUCACAUUGAGCUCAUGAUGAUGUUCUACCGAGUGGGCCCAGAGAUACCUCUCCGUCACACGGAGUGACAAAUCCCGAUCUCGAUUCGUACCAACCCAAUAAGCACUUUCGGAGGUACCCGUAAUGCACCUUUAUAGUCACUCAGUUACGUUGUGACGUUUGAUACACCCAAAGCACUCCUACGGUAUCCGGGAGUUGCACAAUCUCACGGUCGAAGGAAAAGAUACUUGACAUUAGAAAAGCUUUAGCAUACGAACAAUACGAUCUAGUGCUAGGCUUAGGAUUGGGUCUUGUCCAUCACAUCAUUCUCUCAAUGAUGUGAUCCCGUUAUCAAUGACAUCUAAUGCCCAUGAUCAGGAAACCAUGAUCAUCUAUUGACUAACGAGCUAGCCAACUAGAGGCUUGCUAGGGACACAUUGUGAUCUAUUUAUUCACACAUGUAUUACUGUUUCCUGUUAAUACAAUUAUAGCAUGAACAAUAGACGAUUAUCAUGAACAAGGAAAUAUGAUAAUAACCAUUUUAUUAUUGCCUCUAGGGCAUAUUUCCAACACCCGGAUGUAUGACCAACCAUUUAUGAUGGACUGCGAUGCCUCUGGUUUGGGGUUCGACACCGUCCUUCAUCAGGGCGACGGGUCGCUUGCCUUCUUGAGCAGGUCUUUUGCCGUGCGUCAUCAUAAGCUCGUGGCCUAUGAGAGGGAGCUCAUUGGCUUGUUGCAGGCCGUACGCCACUAGCGGCCAUAUCUUGGCGGUGGCCGUUUCGGAUUCGCAUGGAUCACUACAGCCUCAAGUUCCUAUUGGACCAAAGGAUGUCUACCAUACCGCAUCACUAGUGGAUCAGCAAGCUUUUUGGCUUCGACUUCACUGUGGAGUAUCGUACGGGUCGCCUUAACACCGUGGCCGACGCCUUAUCCCGCCGUGGACACCGGCGACUCCACCGGGGCGGCGCUCUGCAUCCGCUCGGGGCCCUCUUUCGUUCUCCUUGACGACGUCCGCAGAGCCACCGCAGACGCGGGUAAUGCUCAGCUUCUUCAACAGGGCCUCACAAACGGUGACCUGGCCAAGCCAUGGCGCUUGACGGAUGGGUUGCUACUACAUGGGCGUCACCUCUUUGUGCCGAAUCACGGCGAUCUCCGUCACCAGGUCCUGCUGUUAGCCCACUCGGCCGGCCAUGAGGGUGUGUAGAAGACCCUCCACCGUCUCCGUGCUGAUUUCUACAUCCCCGGUGAUCAGGCCUUGGUCCGGGACUGGGUGCGCUCUUGCAUUACGUGCCAGCGUAACAAAACAGAGACGCUGUGUCCGGCAGGGCUGCUAUAGCCCUUGAAGGUGCCUUCUCAGGUCUGGGCCGAUAUUUCCAUGGAAUUCAUUGAGGGACUCCCCAAGGUGGGCGGCAAGUCCUUCAUCCUCACAUUGGUCGAUCGCUUCUCCAAGUACACCCACUUCAUCACGCUUGGCCAUCCUUACACCGCCACCUCCGUGGCCCGGGCCUUCUUCGACGGCAUCGUUUGCCUACACGGGUUUCCCUCUUCGAUCAUCAGCGACCGGGACCCGGUGUUCACGGGGCAUGUUUGGCACGAUCUCUUCAGGAUGGCGGGCGUGAAGCUACGCUUAAGCACGGCAUUCCAUCCUCAGACGGACGGUCAAUCUGAGGUGGUCAACAAGGUGAUUGUCAUGUAUUUGCGUUGUGUAACAUGUGAUCGUCCUCGUGCUUGGGUGAACUGGCUUGCGUGUGCGGAGUACUACUACAACACUUCUUAUCACUCCGCCCUACGCGCCACGCCAUUCGAGGUGGUAUAUGGCCGAUCGCCCCCGCCCAUCCUACCGGUUGACCCGGAGACGGCUAGGACGGAAGCAGCGGCGGAUCUUCUUCGCAGCCGCGACGAGAUGCUUGUCGAGGUGCGCCAACGCCUCAUUUAGGCCCAGCAGUUGGCCAAACACUACUAUGACAGCCACCACCGCGAGGCGGAGUUCGCGGUGGGCGACUCGGUGUGGCUGCGUCUUCUUCACCGUUCUACGCAGUCCCUUGACCCUUGUGCGAAGCGCAAACUGGGCCCUCGCUACGCCGGGCCAUUUUCCGUGCUGGAACGCAUCGGCAAGGUGGCCUACCGUCUUCAGCUUCCGGCGGGUGCUCGCAUCCACGACGUCUUCCAUGUGGGGCUCCUAAAGCCUUUCCGUGGGGAGCCACCGACAACAACACCGGCACUACCCCCCGACUUCUUCCCGGGCCAGCAAAGGUGUUGCAGGCCCAACUACGUCGCGAGGUGUGGCACCUGUUGGUCCAGUGGGAAGGCCUUCCUGAGGAGGACGCGACGUGGGAGCAGCGUGACGACUUCACUCAACAUUAUCCAGACUUCCAGCUCGAGGACGAGCUGUUUGCGCAGGCGGGGAGAGAUGUUAUAACCGGUGCUACGUACCAGCAAAGGAGGCCCAGUGGCCAGGGUUAGUUAUGGGCUUAGCCCAGUUAUCUUAGCUAUCUUAGAGAAUCAAGCAAUAAGACCAUUCUAUUGUCCGGCUCUCAGAGGAGCCGGAACCCUAGCCACCGCAUCCUCUACUCGCCGCCGCCUCCUCCCAGCGCCAAGACGGCGCAUCGCGCCGGCUGCGGCGACCUCGCCUCCUCCGACCCCCCUCCUAUCCGUAUAAUCUGAGGCAGUGGCCUGGUAGAGCCCUAGUUCCUACCAGUUGGAAACACAUUUUAAAAAUACUACUACUUGUUAGUUGGAAGCACACUUUCCAUUUGUAUGUAACACAAACAUGUUGGUCAACUAGUAAAUAUUUUGAAGUAAAUUGCAGGUUUUAAGUCGAAUUGAGGAGCCCAUUUCAUUCAUCACGAAACUGAUAAUACACCCUCAGGUUUGCCUGGCUCAGCUUAAAAACAAAAACAAAGCAGAGCAGAGCAGCAACAUGCAAAACAGAGCAGCAACAUGCAAAGCAAAGCUGUACUUGUAAGGAUCAAUUUACACCCUUACUUAUUCAUUACAGAACCAAGCAGUAUCUCUUUCAGCAAGCGACUGCCAUUUAAAAGAAGCUCAUCACUCAAUUUUCAGCAAAGGUCAAAAACUUUCCAUCCUUCAAUUCGUCGCCUGGCUGGCGCCCACCCAAAAUGUAUGUCAAACAUGCUUCUCCGAUGCCGCCAGUAGUAACCCUGCGCCCCUGCUACCUGCACAUCGUUGCAAUUCUUUUCGCCAUAAGCUAUAAACAUCCAAUAUGUAACUUUUUGCAACCUACAAAGCUGGGAUCCAUAGAAAAAUAUUUUUCAAGCAAUUAUCAUUCCUCGGUUUCCGAAUAGACCAAAUAACAGCCGCUACCCCUACAGUAACCAGACUCCUACCUGUACCACUGAAAUUCAUCACCCAAUGACAAAGUCUCUCUCUCUGCCAACAGGAACUGUAUCAAAACCACAUGUGUUCCAAAUAUAACAAGCAACCGAACACUUAAAAAAUGCAUGAUCCACUGACUCUUUUGUACGGUAAAAGACGGCAAUUUUCCAUACACAGUAAUAAUUUGACCUAUAUGAUACUAUUUCUUAAUGCUAUAAACAGUAAUAAUUUGAUUUUACAUACCAAAAUUUUCUACGACGUCAUUUCGCUUGUGAGCUUUGAGAGCUACUCCCUCCGUACCACAAUAUAAGAUGCUUCUGCAAGCCUGUUUAGCUUGCACAAACAUCUUAUAUUGUAGGACGAAUAGAAUAUAUUCAUAGAAUGAACAGAAAAUACCCCAUAGCUGUCUAAAAGGCCAUCUACGUGAAUCUUGCUUAUUUCUCAGACUAAAACUUUCACGAUAAAAUUGGUGCUAGGACUUGAGAGCUUGUCAGCUACCCAAAAAUAUAUUGUAUAACCUAGAGUACUUGUGAGCUGUAGCGUGUAAGAUUGCAUAAAAAAUCCACAUUUGUCCAAAAUCUACAUCUGACCCAGUCCCCAGUCCCCACUACCAACUAUCCUUCUAGGCUUCCAAUUAUCCUUAGCAUAAAAAAAUCCAGUCAUCAACACUUGCCAAAAAAUGAGAAUCAGCAAGUUUAAUUCAGAUUACGCUUCCAAUUUACUUUUCUCAGAUAUAUACUUAUGCCCAAGCAACUUCUGUAAAACACCUUGAAAUCUUUAUAAUUUGCAUAGGCACUGGUGAAGAGCGUUGAUCAAUACGACAACAAGCUGAGCUCCAGAGAUGGAGAAAGGAAGGUAGUGGAAAAUAUGAUAUGUAAGGUAGUUGGCGGAUUGAUCUAUUCCAGGCAGGCAACGCAAUGGAGGAGACUGACAAGAGCAGACGAAGACCAGCAACAGUAGUAAGUCAAGAGAGGGCAGAUACAGAGCCCAAAGUAAUGCUUUUGGCUGAUGGGUUUAUUGAGUGGGUCAUAGAUAUGUUGGUUUUGAACGUGCGUAUGCAGCCGUACAGGCGUGCCUACGCGAUUCUUGCUUCGGCCGGCUACUUGACGGAACUUGCGUAACUAGCGACACGAAUAAAACUGAUCAAUGAAUUUGAUGGCUAAAGGCCCGUGUCGAGCCUUUGCUUUGUAUUGCUUUUCGUUUUUCUGGUGUUACAAUCAACACCCCUAGGGUGUCUUUUAUACACGUCCACAAGGGACUAUGGAAAUAGACUAGGACUAGGAAUCCUAAUACUACUAGGACUCGGUUUGGCUUUCUUUCCUAAUCCUACAUGAGCAACAUGAUUAACAUCUACAUUCACCUCCUUAAUCUUGUUGCUUGACUUCACUUCUUGCACUCCGACUUUCCUCCUCAUCUCGAUGAACUUCUGUCGACCGAGGGACUUGGUGAAAAUAUCGGCAAGUUGGUCUUUCGUGUUCACAUGUUGAACCUCGAUCAACCCUUCUUCAAUACACUCCCGGAUAUGGUGGAACCGGGUAUCUAUGUGCUUGCUCCUUUCGUGAUGAACCGGAUUUUUGCACAACGAGAUUGCAGCUUGGUUAUCGAUCUUCAGUGACACCUUCUGCACCUCCCGCUUUGCAAGAAUAGCUAGGAGUCUUCUCAGCCACACUGCUUGACAAGCCGUCGUGCUUGCCGCUAUGUAUUCUGCCUCGCAUGAAGACAGUGCCACCACCUUUUGCUUCUGAGAAUUCCAGCUAAUCGGAUUCGGGCCAAGGUAGAAAACCAUGCCCGUUGUGCUCUUUCGGUCAUCAACAUCACCUGCCAUGUCACUAUCUGAAUAUCCACGAAGGAUCAAUCCUUCCUUUCCCUUUCUGUACGUGCAGCCAAGAUUAAUUGUGCCUUUCACAUAGCGUAGAAUUUGAUUGACCGCGCUCAUGUGUUCGGUUGUCGGAUUCUCCAUGAAACGACUCACGAUCCCGACUGAAUAAGCCAAGUCAGGUCGGGUAUGCACCAAGUAUCUUAGGCUACCCACAACGCUUCGAUACAUUGUGGUGUCCACCGGCGGAUUUGAGCUACGCUUGCUCAACUUGUGACGUUGGUCCAUUGGAACUUGUGUCGCGUAGCAAUCUGACAUGCCACACUUGUCCAAUAACUUGACCGCGUAAGACGAUUGACAUAGGGAAAUCUCCCCGGAGCUUUGCUUCACUUCGAUGCCCAAGUAAUAGCUGAGUAAUCCCAGAUAACUCAUGCUAAACUUGUUCUUCAUUUGCGCCUUGAAACGUUCAAUUUCUUGUACGCUAUCUCCGGUGAUAAUCAGAUCGUCGACAUAAACUCCAACUAGCAGGUUUGAGCCUUUGGAGUUCUUUGUAUAGACUGCGUGCUCGAGGGGACAUCUCUUGAACCCGAGCGAGACCAGACUUCGGUCUAACUUUGAGUUCCAAGCUCUUGGCGCUUGCUUCAACCCGUAAAGUGCCUUCUUGAGCUUGUAAACUUUCCCUUCUUCGCCUUUCUUCUCGUAGCCGAGGGGUUGUUCCACGUACACUUCUUCUGUGAGAUCGCCGUUGAGGAAAGCGGAUUUAACAUCCAUAUGAUGAACCUUCCAAUCCUCUUGUGCUGCCAAAGCUAGGAGCACUCUCACCGUCUCGAUUCGAGCAACCGGUGCAAACACCUCAUCAUAGUCAACUCCUUGACGUUGUACGUAGCCCUUUGCAACGAGUCUUGCCUUGUACUUCACAAUGGCACCCUCCGUGUCCUUCUUUAACUUGUAAACCCACUUCAAACCUAUCGUCUUUUGGUUUGGAGGUCGGGUUACCAAAGUCCACGUGCCAUUGCUCUCAAUUGCCUUCAUCUCCUCAUCCAUGGCGUGCGUCCAGCUAGGACUUUUUCUCGCCUCUACGAAGUUCGCCGGCUCCUCAACUCCGAACAGACAUAGUCCGGAGUACUCGAGCGUAACUGGCUUUGUGUACUUGUAGACUUUCUUGAGGGUCUUGUAGCGACGAGGCCCUGAGGAGUCCGUUGUGGCUUGCGAAGGAGGCGACACAAAUUGUGUCGGUGUUGAUGCACUUGAGGAAGACGGCUGAGACCUUGGUGUGUCAUCGACAUCCGUGUCGUCGGCGUAGUCGUCGUGACCGUGACCAUCAUCUUGAUUGUCGUCGUCACUAUGCGCCUCGUUGUCGAUGUUGUCGUCGAGAUCUCCGCCUGUGUCGUGCGCGGCGUUGUCGCUAUCUCCUUGCGACCUAUGCGCGUCGUCGUCGGUGUCGGCACCAUGAUGAUCACUACCAUUGUGGUCGCCUUGGUUGGGUGUCUUGCCAAUCACCUGGACAUCCUCCCCUGCAUCAUCAUCAGUUGGAAAUUCAACUGCAAAUAUGUUACUGUUUGGAGCAUCGUCGGCUGCGGCGCUCCAAUUCCACGCUUGGUUUUCUUCAAACACGACGUCGCAUGAAAUCCGUAGACGCUUGGUUUGUGGAUCGUAGAAACGGUAUGCCUUGGUGCCAGAACUGCUCUCGUAUCCGAUGAACACCAUCUUGGUGCUACGAUCGGCAAGCUUUGAGAGAUGUGGCUCCGCCGUCUUCACAUGUGCCACGCACCCGAACGUCCGUAGAUGAGACACAUUCGGCUUACGUCCGUAAAUUGCUUCAUACGGAGUCUUGCCGAUCACCGCCUUCGUUGGAGCCCGGUUGAGAAGAUAGACCGCCGUCGAGACAGCUUCUCCCCAAAAAAUCCCCGGCAGGUUCUUGCUCUUGAGUAAACUCCUUGCCAUGUCAACGACGGUUCGAUUGCGCCUUUCAACGACCCCAUUCUGCUGCGGCGUGUAAGGUGCCGUGAGGAACCUCUUUAUGCCAAUCUUCUCGCAGUAGUCGUUGAACUCAUUCGACGUAAACUCUCCGCCGCGAUCUGUCCGUAGAACGCGAACCUUCAGCUUGUGUUCCAUCUCCGUUGCAGCCUUCAGCUUCUUGAACGCUUCAAACGCCUCAUCUUUAGACCGUAGGAGAACGAACCACAUAUAUCUCGAGUAGUCGUCUACCACAAGGAAGAAAUACUUCUUUCCAGCGUGAGUUGCCGGGGUGAUAGGGCCACAUAGAUCACCAUGGAGCAGCUCGAGUGCAUCACUUGCACGAUAGGUAGACUGAGCAGGGAAUGGCCUGCAGUGCUGUUUUCCAACCAAGCACCCGUCACAUACUCGAUCAACAUGGUCGAUAACUGGCAUCCCGGAUACCAUCUGCAUCUUUGACAUCUUCUUCAAGGCGUAGAAGUUAACGUGUCCAAAUCUAGCAUGCCAUAACCACGAAUCAUCAUCACUCUUGGCAAGCCAACACUCCGGUUGAGAUUGAUCAAGGUUGAGGAUAUAGAGCCUAUUCCGUGUGCGAUUAACACGAGCUAGCACGUUUCGGAGGUUGUCGAAGAUCGUCAUCACUCCGCUCUCUAUAUUCACCUUGCAUCCAUUCUCGUCAAGCUUCCCAAUAGAGAUGAUGUUGUUGCGCAGCCGUGGGAUGUAGUACACUCCGGUGAGUAUGCGAUGUUCGCCUGUGAGACCCUCAAAGAGGACAGAUCCUUGCCCGCAAAUCUCCACAGCUAAACCAUCACCGAACUUGACCGAGCCUUCAACAUCGUAUUCCAGCUCGAGGAAUUUCUCCUUGCACCCCGUCAUGUGGUUACUGGCACCCGUGUCGAGAUAUCACGACACGUUCUGAUCACCGGAUAACUUUGGUGUCACUUUUUCCUCAUGAAGUAGCACCUUCCGGCUUGGUUUUACAACCACCGUUUCAGCGAGAUCACAAACUUCGACCAUCAGAAGACCUGGACCUUCGUCUUCCUGCUUUGCCAAAUUUGCCUUGAUCUCCCGCUUGUUAGGCUUUGGACAAUCCUUCGCAAAGUGACCCAUCUUAUUGCAGUUAUAGCACUUGACCUCGGACAAGUCCAAGUUCCGUGGUUUCUGCUCUUUAGAUUGGCCCGCCUUACCACGACCUUGUGGUUUGCCUUUUCCUUUGCCUUUUCCGGUUUGUCCAUCGCCCUUCGUGUUGCUUGAGCCUUCGCCACCGUCACACCUUCCUUUGCUACUUGGGGCCUCCCAGUCUGUGCGCGAGUACAUGAGUUGGUCACUACCUCCUCCUUUGCCUUUCCGACAGCCACGAGCAUUCUCUUCCCAUGUCCGCAAUCGUCCGAUCGCCUCCGUUAUGGUCAUGUCGUCGAUGUCGUAAAGCUGCUCGAGCGUGCCGAUGAUGUACGUGAAUUUAUCAGUGACAGAACUGAAAAAUUUCUCCACGAUCUCGCUCUCAUCGAGCUUUGCACCAAGCGCGCGGAUCUCUCCCAUCAAAGUAGUAAGACGCAUGGCGUAGUCAUUCACCGAUUCAGUUUCCUCCAUCUGCAACUUGUGAAAUUGGCGCUUCAGCACUUGUGCCCGAGCCUUGGUGACGCGAUCUUCUCCGAUCCUCAUCUCCUUGAGUGCGUUCCACGCCUCUCUUGCCGUCUCGAACUCCGCCAGUGUCAUCAGCACGGAAUCCGGCACAGACUGGGCUAUGGCGGCCAUGGCACCUUCGUCGCGCUCCUCGUCGACGUCGUCGUCCGUGAUGGCCUCCCACACUCGAAGGGAUCGAAGAAUAAUCUUCAUCUUCACCGCCCACACGCCGUAGUUGGCGUCGGUGAGCAUCGGGUACUGGAUGGGGAUGUUGCGAUGCGCCUGGACGUUAGCGCCGCUCGUUCCUCCACCACUGGUUGCUGACUUGACGCCCUUCUUCACCUUGUCGCCGUUCUUGUUCGUCUUGGCACCGCCGCUGCCGGACUUGACCGACUCAGCGUCGCUGUCCGUCAUCGUAGAUCGUAGAUCGUCGAGGCUCUAGAUACCAAUUGUUGGCUUUUGAACGUGCGUAUGCAGCCGUACAGGCGUGCCUACGCGAUUCUUGCUUCGGCCGGCUACUUGACGGAACUUGCGUAACUAGCGACACGAAUAAAACUGAUCAAUGAAUUUGAUGGCUAAAGGCCCGUGUCGAGCCUUUGCUUUGUAUUGCUUUUCGUUUUUCUGGUGUUACAAUCAACACCCCUAGGGUGUCUUUUAUACACGUCCACAAGGGACUAUGGAAAUAGACUAGGACUAGGAAUUCUAAUACUACUAGGACUCGGUUUGGCUUUCUUUCCUAAUCCUACAUGAGCAACAUGAUUAACAUCUACAAGAUAUAGAGUCCAAAGCAACUGUAUGUGGUCCGUCUCCGUCCUUUCUUUGAAUAUCUUGGUCACAGCACACUAUCAAAGAGAAUUUUCUUUUUUAGAAAAGAAGGUUAAACGCGCGGCCUCCGCAUCAAUCGAUGCCUGCGGUUAUUUUUAUUAAUUAUUCCACAAAGGUAUGAUAAGAACAUACAUCAAUCCACCCGAAGCCACCACUCGCACCUACAAAUUCGAUAAUAUGGAGCGCUCUUACUCCCGAUAUCUAAAACCGAUGUCGUCGUCAAUAUCUGCUACAUACCUCAGAGCACAUCUGAUGCAAUGUGAGUCGCUCUGGAUCAGAAAUCAGUUCUCCUCCUCGUCCUCACACAAAUCGUCAUCAUGAGCACCUUGGGAGAUUUAGAGAUCAAAAUCCAUGCAGAAAGUAAUAAGGUCAGUCCGUCAUUGAGAAAAAAACACAUGUGUAAGUGCACAAGUAAUUAGUUAGGUGCAGGAUGCGUACCUUUUGCUAUAUGCGGCCUCAUCUGAAUAUAAAUCCGGGGAUGGCUGGGAUGAGCUUCCAGGGCACGCCUCACCGCAGCCUCCGCUUCCUUUGCCUCCCCAACCCUCGCUCCACCACAAUACAUAUAAACAGAGACAAACUCUCGAAGGGAGAACAGGUUCCCCUGCAGGCCCAAGUCGAAGCCACGGUUACCAUCCUCUUUCGUCACCCGCACGCCAAGGCUGAACCAAACUCUUACCGCCCUUGGCAAAGCUCCUGGUUCAAACAAUAUCUGCGUGGCAGAUCCACAAUCCAAUCGAAAGUCAACCGUACAGCGGAACCCAUCUGCACGGAUGACUAGCAGCCGUUGCGUUUGGUCGGUGCUCGUUAUUAUAAAGAGACGACGAAGGCACAACAACCCCCCAAUGAUUUCCACGUCAUCCUGCUGCACGUCCUUCACUGACGAGAGGAUUAACUCGGAGAGGUUCGAGAGAUGUGAGGGGUCUCUCUUUAUCCACCCUCGCAGUGCAGAGAGUUGGCUGGGCAUGGAAGACACAAAUCUGCGGAGAUGUACAGGAGGCAGCCAGCGUUCCCCCAAGAGAUCCAUAAGUUCAAAAGAUGAUGUUUCUCUGGAAUUGCACUCAAUACGUAGACUUUCGAUGUGAUGUAGGUUGCACAGAGAAUUCACGAAUUCAGUAAAUCUCAAGCUCCCUCAGCCUUUCCAGGUUGCCAAGCUCUUGUGCAAUAAUUUUCAGAGAGACCCAGAUCCCCCUCAACACUUCUAUGGAUGUCAGAUUUUGCAACACACCAACUAGAGGAAACACCUGACAGCCAACUAAAUUUAGGUAGGUUAAUCUUCUAAAAUUACAAACAGUGAACGGCAAUUCAUUUAGAUUAUGAUUGUCUUCAAGAUCCAACACCUCCAAAAACUGAAGUUUUCCUAUCUCAGCCGGGAGCUUACUGAUUUUGGUACCUUCUAGACCAAGGUACCUUAGGUGAAUUAAAUGUCCAACAUCCUCGAGGUUAAGCUGAAGGCUGCUAUUCUCCCCAAGAAUACAUUUCGAUAGAUCAAGUACACGUAAAACGUCAAACCUUGAAAGAGAUGGCAUGACUUCAAUAGCAGGUGGAAAGAUAGUAAUUGACCUCACUCGUGACAUACUCUUGAUAUCUGUGAGAGGCUUGGCUUGAUGAUCUUCAUUUCUAUUUUGAAGGGACAAACGGCGACAAUUACUCUGUGAAAACAUGCUAUUCCCAGUGCCAUCCAAUAGAUUCACAAAUUUUGCUUCAUGUGACAAGUUGCAGAUAAGGUCCAGAACCAUAUCAUGUACACGACAAGCAUGUACAUCACCACUAAAACUAUAUAUUGGCUGGAUCAGACUUCUAUUAAUGAGCUGGUUGAAGAAAUUUAAUCCGAGCAAAAACAGGCUAGUCCCUUGAUUUCCAUGGUGGACAAAUCCUUCGGCCACCCACUUCCAUAUCAGACUAUCUCUAUCAAUCAUGCUAUCUUCGGGGUAUAUACUUAGAUACAAUAGACAAGUUCUCAGAUGAAAAGGUAGAUUAUAAUAGCUAAAAGAUAGUAUUCUCCGCAACUCAUCUAAGCUGUUAUCUUCUGUUAGUCCAGAGCCAAGGGACUGCAACAGUAUAUCCCACUCAUGCUUUGGUUUCACCUUCUCGCCACCAGCCAAAGCACUAGCUAUAGUAAUUAUGGCUAGUGGCACCUCACCACAUUUCUUUAGAAUAUCCCUAGACACUUGUUCAAAUUCAUUUGGACAUACAGUCUCGCUAGGAAAUAUUCUUUUACAGAAAAGCCUUCGGGAGUCAUCUGUAGAAAGCGGUUCCAUUUGAUAAAUUGAAUCGUCGGACGACGAGCAACAUGACUCAGAUAGAUUGAGAAUGCGGGUUGUGGUAAUUAGCCGACUGCCUAAAUUGUUCCUGUUGGAGAAAGCAAUGUUGAUGUCUUUCCACAAGUUUUGAUCCCAUAUAUCAUCAAUUAUGAUGAGGUACCUACACCAGUUUGGAGUAUUAGUGUAAGAUCUAUUGAACUGGAAAAGCUAUAUAUGGGCCUUAUGAAUAUGUGGGCGGAACCAUGUAUGCAGAAUGUGUAUGUUCAGAAACAAACUAAUAAAAACACGAGUCUCAAUCUCGACAAUCUUAUGAACUGACAAUCAGAUGAUGAACAAAAUGAAUACAAAUUUAAGAUUCUAGGAGUAAAACACAAAGAGCAAAUUGUUGGAAUGAUGGCCAUAUAUAGAAGAACUGUUAAUUAGUUACAACAUUUCAAAUACUACAAUGCUUUAGGUGUUGGAAUUAUGCCCUAGAGGCAAUAAUAAAUGUAUAGUUAUUAUUAUAAUUCCUGUAUCAAGAUAAUAGUUUAUUAUCCAUGCUAUAAUUGUAUUGAAUGAAGACUCAUUUACAUGUGUGGAUACAUAGACAAAACACCGUCCCUAGCAUGCCUCUAGUUGGCUAGCCAGUUGAUCGAUGAUAGUCAGUGUCUUCUGAUUAUGAACAAGGUGUUGUUGCUUGAUAACUGGAUCACGUCAUUGGGAGAAUCACGUGAUGGACUAGACCCAAACUAAUAGACGUAGCAUGUUGAUCGUGUCAUUUUGUUGCUACUGUUUUCUGCGUGUCAAGUAUUUAUUCCUAUGACCAUGAGAUCAUAUAACUCACUGACACCGGAGGAAUGCUUUGUGUGUAUCAAACGUCGCAACGUAACUGGGUGACUAUAAAGAUGCUCUACAGGUAUCUCCGAAGGUGUUAGUUGAGUUAGUAUGGAUCAAGACUGGGAUUUGUCACUCCGUGUGACGGAGAGGUAUCUCGGGGCCCACUCGGUAAUACAACAUCACACACAAGCCUUGCAAGCAAUGUAACUUAGUGUAAGUUGCGGGAUCUUGUAUUACGGAACGAGUAAAGAGACUUGCCGGUAAACGAGAUUGAAAUAGGUAUGCGGAUACUGACGAUCGAAUCUCGGGCAAGUAACAUACCGAAGGACAAAGGGAAUGACAUACGGGGUUAUACGAAUCCUUGGCACUAAGGUUCAAACGAUAAGAUCUUCGUAGAAUAUGUAGGAUCCAAUAUGGGCAUCCAGGUCCCGCUAUUGGAUAUUGACCGUGGAGUCUCUCGGGUCAUGUCUACAUAGUUCUCGAACCCGCAGGGUCUGCACACUUAAGGUUCGACGUUGUUUUAUGCGUAUUUGAGUUAUAUGGUUGGUUACCGAAUGUUGUUCGGAGUCCCGGAUGAGAUCACGGACGUCACGAGGGUUUCCGGAAUGGUCCGGAAACAAAGAUUGAUAUAUAGGAUGACCUCAUUUGAUUAGCGGAAGGUUUUCGGAGUUACCGGGAAUGUACCGGGAAUGACGAAUGGGUUCCGGGAGUUCACCGGGGGGGGGCAACCCACCCCGGGGAAGCCCAUAGGCAUUGGGGGAGCCACACCAGCCCUUAGUGGGCUGGUGGGACAGCCCACAAGUGCCCAAUGCGCCAAGAGAAGAAAAAUCAAGAGGAAAGAAAAAAAAAAAAGGGGGGGGGGGAGGUGGGAAGGAAGGGGGACUCCUCCCACCAAACCAAGUCCAACUCGGUUUGGGGGGGGGGGGGAGUCCUCCCCACCUUGGCUCGGCCGACUCCUUGGGGGUCCUUGGACCCCAAGGCAAGGCCCCCCUCCCUCCCACCUAUAUAUACGGAGGUUUUAGGGCAGAUUUGAGACGACUUUCCCACGACUGCCCGACCACAUACCUCCACGGUUUUUCCUCUAGAUCGCGUUUCUGCGGAGCUCGGGCGGAGCCCUGCUGAGACAAGGUCAUCACCAACCUUCGGAGCGCCGUCACGCUGCCGGAGAACUCUUCUACCUCUCCAUCUCUCUUGCUGGAUCAAGAAGGCCGAGAUCAUCGUCGAGCUGUACGUGUGCUGAACGCGGAGGUGCCGUCCGUUCGGUACUAGAUCGUGGGACUGAUCGCGGGAUUGUUCGCGGGGCGGAUCGAGGGACGUGAGGACGUUCCACUACAUCAACUGCGUUCUCUAACGCUUCUGCUGUACGAUCUACAAGGGUACGUAGAUCACUCAUCCCCUCUCGUAGAUGGACAUCACCAUGAUAGGUCUUCGUGCGCGUAGGAAAUUUUUUGUUUCCCUUGCGACGUUCCCCAACAUUAGGUAGAUCUAUUGGAGAGACCCGUGUACUGAUUGGACCACCGAUUUACUACACAUCCGCUAAUAAACAUCCUUGAGACUCAAAAUGCAUGUCAAUAUCGUUUCAUGCAUAUUGUUGAUAGCAAGUUUCCAAAAAAGGCAUAAAGGGAAAAUAGAAUGCGAUAAGAGCAAAUUUUACUUACUGUUUGGUCAUCAAUCCAACAUACAGUAUCUUAGGAAAAAUUCUAGGGUAGUCUUUGUUCGAGGUGCAAACUUUAACAUCUUUAUUUCAGAUGAGGUGGGUUAGGAGAAAGAAAGAAACUUAAGUAAAAUAUUGUAACGUUUAUCUCCCCUUAUCUUUCCUUUUUGAACUUAAUGUAUUACCCUAAUAAACUUUUUUUUGACCCCAGACCCUUCCAUGAGAAGUUACAAUAUAUUGACAUAGUAUUAAUAGUACAACUGGCAUAGGAAGCAAACAUAUCACAAUAUUAUCAUUUAUGUUGCAAGUGAAGCAUACCUCUUGUUCUCGAGGAAUUCAUGCAGCUUGUUGAUAAGCUGCCUUUCAUCCAACAUGGCAACAUCUGAGUGGGAUUUUCCGAGAUCAAUGAGGAUAUCCUUAAAAAUCUUCUUGAUGUCAGGGUUCUGACCAACGGGGACAAAUACCCGACAAUCAAAAACACCUUUAAUCUUCUCGUAUACUGCUCUAACAAGAGUGGUCUUUCCCAACCCACCAAAUCCAACAAUGGAGAUCUUCUUCAGUCUCUUGUUACAUGCGUCGUCGCCCUCAAUGGAGAGCAACCUCAAGAGGUCUUGAUCCCUCUUCCCAUAGAUGCCAACAAGCUCUGUCGCCUCUAUGUAGAGAGCACGAAGACGAGGAUCGAUAGGUAUUGCUUUUAUAGGAUUAGGAGCACUACCAUCGACCUUGUUCCUGUCCCGCCUAGCAGCCACCUCCUGGAGUUGCUCCUUGAUGUCCUUGAUCGCGUCAGCUAUUCGAUGGUGAUUCUUGCCUUUCUUGAACACGCCGACCAUCCUCUUCAUGAGCCCCUUGAAUCUGUUUGCAUCGUCGUGAGGAUGAAUGCCGUCAACACGUACGAGGAACUUGUCGACGACAUCCUCCAUGUCGUAGGAGAGUUCUCUGACCUCGUCGGCCCAGAGCUUAACUUGUGUGUCGAGCUGAUCCCGCGGCACGUCGCCAACCUUGACGAGGGCAGCGUGCAUGCUCUCAAGCUCCCUGGAGAGGAAGCGGACGUCUUUCUUGACGCGCUUGUGCAGGUUGUACUCAUCCAUGAGCAGCUGGCCAAGCUUGGGGAGCAGGCUGCCCAUGGCACCCGUGACGACCUCCAUGAGCAGCUCUCUUUACAAACAAUCACCUAGAAACCUGCAAAUCGAUGAACGAGGGGAGCUGUAAUGCAAUCCAAGCUCUAGAACUGAGUUGCAAAGUAGUAAAACUUAGCUAGAUACCUUUGGUGCUUCAGGGCAGAGCAGAACAAAGCACCAGAGGCGGAGGGUCGCUGCACACGAGCUGGAGGGACAACACAUCUCUCUCGAUCUAGAAGGGAGAUUAACAAGAAGGUUAGCAGAUUACCAAGGUGUGGAUGUGAAAUACUUCCUCCGUUUCUAAAUAUAAGUCUUUUAGAAGUUUUCAUUAGGAAACUACAUACGGAACGGAAAUAGUGAAAUCUUUAGAAAGACUUAGGAACGGCGGGAGUAUAUCUCAGUAGCAAGAAAGAUGAGACAAAGUUACCAGCUCAGUGGAUUCGAUGCGUGGUGCUCUGGACUGGAAAGUCGAUGUUCUUGCUAGUUGUUCCACUGCCACCCCAAAUGAUUCAACCAACACAAAUCAGAUUCCCGAGCAGUACUGAAGAAGGAGAACUAAGUUUUUAGAUCCAAGCAUACUUCAGAUGGAAAGAAAUCGACUGGAAAUAUACCUCCACAGGUGUCAAGAUCUCCACAGUUGGCAGAGGUUGGACAAGAUCACCAAACAACAAGGCAGUGCAAUGGAGAAGACGACUGAGAUGGGAGGAAAGGAGCACUCGGUGGUGGAGAUGAGUAGCAGAGGAAGACCAACAACAGCAGUCAAGAGAUGCAGAGCGCCCAUGAUGCCUCCGAAUAGUAGUGCUUUUGGCUCAUGUAAUUAUUCAGUGGGUCAUAUAUACACCGACAGUGAUUCAGAGACAAUAAUUACGUACUACUGUAUAUGGUCCUCUCAUUUCUCUGAAUCUCUCAUGCACCUGCCAGGCUAGCACAUCUGAGUCACACCAUGAGCCUGAAAACAACGGUCACAAGUUUAGCACUGUGGUAAAAUAUCAACAUAAUUUCUGGGCAGCAUGCAUAAGAACACAAAAUUCUGCACCAUAUUUGAAGGUAGCACAUGAAUCAUCAACAUGUAGAGCUAACAAACCCCCAAUAUAGACCCCCAAUAUAAUCACUUCGGUGAAUGCAAACAGAACUUAAAUCAUGGUUUUGAAAGUUCAGAACCUCAAACCUUGCCUACGAAAUCGAGCGAUCAUGAACAUACGCUAAACUGUAACGAUAAUUGAACACAUAGUUUCAGUUCACAUAGUUUCAUAGUAGCAGUGAGUGGAGGCGAGGAGCAGAGGACUCAGAGAAACAACAGUCAAGAGAGGAAAUUACUAGCAGUACGCAAAGGAGAUUACUACUACUCCACGUCCACGAUCCCUCCGAAGUCCGAACAGUACUGCUUUUGGCUGAUGUGUUUAUUCAGUGGGUCACAGAGAGACAGGGAUUCGGAGCAAAAUAAUUACAUACACUGUAUAUAUGGUCCGUCCACCAGCCAUCAUUCACUGCAUUUACUCUCCUCUCUUUUCUCUGAAUCUCCCUCAGUUGGUUGGUCAGUCCACAUCAUGCAUUACUCCUCUGUCUAUGCAGUCAUUUGCCAGGUGGUAAAUUACUCCUAUGUAGUACUCAAAUCAACACCGAAAAUACCCAAUGAGUCUCAUGUUCCAGUGCACCUGAAUUUAAAAAUAAUUUAGAAAUUAAAAAAAAAGUCAAAAAAUCCUGGAAGUUUUUUAAACAUAGUUGAUCUAGUGUUAUACUCAUAUAAAAAGCUUCAUGAAGGAAUGACUUCAGGGCAAAAAAACAAAAACCAAAAUUCUGAGUAUACAAAGCGUGAAUGGUAACUUUUAUGUAGUGUCGAUUUUGUUUUCUUUCGCCCAGAAUACCACAAACAUACCUUCACGAAACUUUUUACAUGAGUGUAACACUAGAUGAUGUUUCUUUCGCCCAAUAGGAGGUGAGCGGAUAUGAAAGCUUGCUCUCUUUCUUUAUCUUAACUUGUGCGUAAGUUGUUGGUUGAUGUUCAUGCAAACUCACACUAUUUAUUAUUUGACACAUCAUCAAAUAUGCUUAUAUGGUAAGUUUACCAACAACCACCUUAUAGCUAUUGGAUAUGCCUUUAUUAGCAUCAUUAACUGAUACAUGAUAUUAAACCCACAUUAAGAAAGUUAGCGGCGCAACAAAAUCCAAAUUUUGAAUCGAACCUUCAAUUAUUACCUUCACUAGUCAAUUUUGUUCAGAGGGAAUCUUCACCGACGAGUUAUAUUCUCUUACUACCUGAAUUUUGCAAUUCAAAAUAUGAAAUGACUCUCAAUUAGUCUCACCUCCUCAAAUAUAUUUUACAUGGAUGUCGAGGUAACUUUUGUAGUGCAAAAUAACAAAAAUAUAGUCAUAUUUCACUACACUAAGACCAUCUACAACUGGACACCUCGUAGCCAGCCCAAACGUCCUGGCUGUCCAGUAGCCCUCAAACCCAACCCAUAUCUGGGAUAGGUAUGGGACGGCUUGGACACACCGAGACAUGGCCGCCAUGUCAGACCGGCCUAGGUUGGACCAGUCCGACACCACAUAUACCCCACCACGGACCAGCCCUCAAAUUCUGGUUCGAUUCGUGGAUCGAUCCCGAGCCCCUAUGGAUGGAAUUUCGGGAGUUGUACGUGAUCGUCGUCGAUCCCAGCAUCUCUGUCGCUAAUGCCCUUGGCUCCUCGCCCCCGGAUAUCGCCUUCCGGAGGCAACUUUCCCCUGCCGAGGCAACUUCGUGGAAUCUGUUGUGUGCCAAAGUUGCUAAGGCUUCGCUUUCGGAUGCCCAAGACAGGGUGUCUUGGCAACUUGCACCUUAAGGUGUUUUCCCAGUUAAAUCCCUGUAUUGCAAGCUCACCGAGGGAGCGGGUAUGUGUGUUGCACGGGCUUUGUCGAAGGCGUGUAUCCCUCUAAAGGUUAAAAUCUUCCUUUGGCAGAUGUUCCGUAACCGUCUCCCCACUUCGGAGAACAUUGCCAAGCGCAAUGGACCUACCGAUGGGUCUUGUGCGUUGUGUGGUCUUUCGGAAGAUGCAAAUCAUGUGUUCUUCCGUUGGAACCUUGUGCGAUUUGCCUGGAGCGUCGUGCGAGCUGCAGCAGGGGUGGAUUGGAACCCUGCUUCCGGCAGUUACCUCUUAACAUUUUUGGGGAAUAGUCAGGCUGGCCGAGUCUUGUGGACGUGUACGGGUGCACUUCUUUGGGCUUUAUGGCACAUUCGCAAUAAAUUAGCGAUUGAACGGAAACCUCCUUCUCACCCAGCUAACAUUAUUCUCAAAUGUAUUAUCUUUCUGUAGCCGUCAAGUCCAUUGGGGAGGCGGCAGGACUCUGAGGGUCUUGAGCUGGGUAUUCAAAGACUUAGUAACUACAAUAGUACCACUCACUGGCGGAGCCAUGUUGAGGCCGAGGGGGGCCGCUGCCCCCCCCCCCCCCCCCCCCCACCAAAUUCUGAAAAAAAAUUAUAAGGAAGGGCUUACAUGCGAUUUUUUUAGCAAUUUACACCCCAAAAUACACAUGCUUUUGCAUUGGCUCUCCCAGCAAUUUGUACCAAGCUCCGCCACUGCUAGCACUAAGCGCCUGUUGCUACUUAAAGGAGGAGGUGGAGUUUAGGCUGUUGACGGUGGACCUUGGUUGCUUGUUUUGUGUAAUUGGUUAUACUUGUGAGCUGGUCUACUCUGUCUGUGUGGGCUUUAUUAAUUUAAAGUGGGAUGCCUCUCGCACCAUUAAUUGUUCUAAAUGAGAUAAGUAGCACGGCAGCGACGGCAGCCGCCUUGAUGGACGACGGGGAGGCCAUUAAUUCUAGCUAUCUGUAUGUUGGUUUUGAUGGACGGUGUCUUGGAUCUGAUGAUGCGUGUUGUAUGGCCAUAUAUCUAUACAUGUAGAAGUCGUACCUGAGGCCACUCUGCCUUGCAUGCACACCAUGCGGAUGUAUAUACGGAUGUAUAUAGACAUACUUUAAAAUGAAUAUUCAAUCAUUUUGCUUCGUAUGUAGACAUCUAGUGAAAUCGCUUAAAAGACUUAUAUUUAGGAACGGAGGAAGUAGAAUACGAGGCACAUGUACCGAGCGCAAAGCUAGGCCUCCAGAUCGCAUCUGGAACCUUCCACGUCGAUCCCGUGGGCGACGGGAAGGGUGUCCCAGCUGUCGUUGCCAGCACUUUCCUUUUCCUAGCUCCCUUCCCCCUCGCCGCCGCCAAAGGACGCGAUCGAGCAAAGACUAGCCGCCGUUAGCGGCGGCGGGGGGUUUCGCCUUCUCGCGAAGGGCCUCCGCCACGAGGCAGCACGGCUAGGCCGGGACACCGAAAUGACGAGGGUCGUGAGUGGCGGUGAAUCCCCACGACAGCAUCAUUCGGGAUCGGCGGCGCACGAUGGGCUCCGAGGUGACGGAUCGUGCUGGCAAGGGGAUGGCGACGGAUCGGGGUACGUUCCAAUUUGGCGUCCGUCUUCGAGCGAUGGCGUGGACUGUGGGCAGCAUGGACCGGUGUCCUCCGCCAUGGCGCUGAUAGUGUCAGCAUGUUGGAGGCAAUGCUGUGGUGGCGGUCCUAGUGCUUUUGUCACAUCACGGGGACAAUUUGCAUGACCGGUACUCCUUGAUCUGGCCGUCAACGUGUUUCGAAACUACAGCCGGAGAUCUUGCCCAAGGAUAUCUGGAUCGGAUAGAAUCCGGUCGUGUGCAUCCAUAUCAGCCUACGCGGCUCCAUGAGGACGCGACAUGAAACUCUGUUUGUUUGUUGACACCAUGGGACAUGUCGGUAUCUUGAUUUCCAUGGCAUAGACCACGGUGAAGAAAGUCAUGGUGACUGAGAUCGAAGAAUCAGUAAGAGAGGAGGCCUUGGAGGCGAUGCAGUCAGUCACAUGUUAGAUAACUUUCAAAAGCAGCACUGGCGAGUUGAGGACGGCAACAUUGGAGGAUUUUAUUUUUGGUGGUGCUCUUCGGGUGCCAAGUCAUGACUUUGUAGGUGAAAACCUAAGGUCUUACCUUUAUUAGUUGUGGCUGGCAAUUGCUUCACUAAAGGUGUUGUCUUGAGAGCUCGAACUUUCUUCAGGAUGAAAACCUAAGAUCUUGAAUCGAGCUACGACGGUGCUUGUGCAUUGUUUCCUUUUCGAAGGUGUUGCUUUUGGAGACCUUUUAUAUUUUUUGGGUUUUCUCUUUGGUGGUGGUUUGUGUGCUGUUGCUGAUAGAACUUGAUCACUCUAGCGAGGUCUUUAUUUUUUAUUUCUUUUUGGGAUGUGUGUAUCCAGGAUGUCUUAAGACAUCUUGUUGAUAUAAAGGUUAGGUGUAAUUGAUAUUUUCGUGAUAUUAAUAUAUAUUUUUUUUCAAAAAAAUGCGUGAUGGGCAUUGACCUCAAAAGAAUUAAGGAUGAUGUACUUAACUUGCUCGCCACUCAUUUGAAGUCACAGCUUCCGAUUUAGAGAAGCCCAAAUAUACGUUUGCAAUGACGUUAUUGAUGAUUCAUAAUAGCUAUGCAUCAUUCUCUUGCCGCCAAUAUAUACUAGAUCAAUUAUAGCAGAAAUGCCUAGUUUUCCUUGCAGACCAUCCAAAGUAAUCAGAAGUCAACUCUACAGCAAAUCAUCUAAGGCCCUGUUUGAAUCAUAGGGUUAGAGUUAGAGUUGGUUAGAUUGAACUCAUCUAACCCUUAAAAAUCCAAACAGGUGAGUUAGAGUUGGUUAGAUGCAUCUAACCCAUCCAAAAAAUCUAACCCACCUAAGAGGUGCUUUUUUGGGUUAGAGUUAGGUGAGGUUUAGAAAAAGUUACUUUUCACUCUCCCUCCACCACACAAAAUCCUAGAUAAAGGAGCCAAAAUGAUUGGAAAAAAUGCAUUUAUUGGCAAUCUAACCCUUCCAUCCAAACACCUCUUUGGUUAGAGUUAGUUCAGGGUUACUCUAGAGUUAGAAUCUAACUCUAACCUCUAACCGAGUUAGAGUAUCCAAACAGGGUCUAAGUGUUCAUGAUGCAGUCAGUGGCGGAGCCAGCUAUGUGGCUAGCUUUGGCCUCCGCCACACCUAACUUGCCGCAUUUACUAAGAUAAUACACUAUAUAUACUAAUACAAUUUUCAGAUUUAAGCGAACACACUACUGUAGAUCAAUUGAUAGCUUCCGCAAAAAAAAAAAUAGAUAGCUGCUUGUAUGCUGGGACUGGUUGCUGGUUAGUAUAGAUGAUAAAUUGAUGACCAGUUAUCCUCGUCCAAGUGAUUGCUAACACAAAGUAACAUGUCCGUAUAUAGUAUCUAGUAAGAUUUUGUAUUAUACGUAGUUUUCCCUUUCGUAAGCUCCGCCACAUCUAAAUUUUUUUCCUGCCUUCGCCACUGGAUGCAGUGCAAAUGCAAAACGAAUUAUUAAACCUGCAACCAGCUAUUCAUGCAUACCAAAGAACAACCCAGAGAGAAUCAAGAAGAGUAUAUACCAGGUGUUGGUUGUUGCCCAGUCUCGACUUGUGACCAAUAAUUUCUGAUCAUCAACUGAACAAUCUUUCAAAUGCUUUUAGUUGCUUAUUUUAUUUUAUUCUAGGGUGAAGCCUGUUUCGAGAGAUAAGCUAGAGAAUUGUUCCAUCACAGGUGCUGCCUUAGCUAAAGCAUCUGCCAUGGCAUUUUUGUUUGUCUGCAUAGAGGUGAUAUGGGCCCGUAGUUCCGAAUAAUCUCAUAGCAGACGAUGAAGAUCGAGAGAGGGAGAGAGAUAGAGUUUUUUUUUCGAAAUGGUGGAGAGAGAUAGAGUUGACAUACCCUGAUCAAAUCCCCACCAGAUGGGCAAUACAACUUGACUAAGCAGAAUUUAGAACUAGAUGCCAAGCUAGUCGCAGCGCCAUUGUGGUGCUUACUUGACUCUCAAUCACAGUGCAAAGCAUUAGUUAACCAUUCCCUUAAAAUUUGAAGUUGUAACAAUGAAAUUACAUGUGUAUAUAUACUCGAUCGGUGACGGUGUGACAAUUCACAUGGGAUGCAAGUAAGCAAUAUGGUACAUAUUACACACAGAUAACUAGCAGCAACAUGCAUGCAUGCAACUUUGACACACGAAGAUAGUACAUGCAUAUAUAAGCCCAUGAACACAUCUCACAAGUACUUGGUAGGGAAUACUGGUCCGGCAGUUAAUUAACGCAGGUGGAUUGGCAGUAGCUUAAGCAAGAGUUCAUGCAUCUCUGGCAAUCGGCGCACUGCAAGGUCGGAGUGGCGCAGGUCCUGCUGCAUCUCACGCUGCUACUGGAGCCAUCACAUGAAGAGUUGCAGUCUUGGGUGCACCUGCUGCACUGCAUCUGCGCCUCCGCCUGCCACGGGGAAGAAGACAGCAUGACUAGCACCAGCACGGCGGCGAUGGCAGCCACCUUGAGGGACGACGGGAAGGCCAUUCUAGCUAGCUAUGUGUUGGUUUCGUGGCGUAAAAGGAGCAAGCAAGGGGAAGAUCAAGGAUAUCUUGAAUCUAUGCCUGUGUGGAGGCCAUAUAAAUACAUACAUGUAGAGGUUGCAGCUGAGGCCACUCUACAUGCGAGGUAGACAUGUAGAGGAACGCACCAUGCGAGGUAGACAUUGACUUCACAUGGGUGAUGUAGUUAACUUGGUCGAUCAUCACUCGUUUGAAGUCAGAGAUUCUGAUCUAGAGAAGCGUAGAUAUACGUUGGCAAUGACGUUACUCAUGGUUCUUAUUAGCUGGAGUAUUAUUUUUUCUUGUGCCUAAUGUAUCGAACCUGCAAACAAUCCAAAGGAAUCACAAAGUCAACUCCACUACACUAAUUCAUCUAAAUUUUCGUCACGCACAGCACAUGCAAAACGAAUUAACAAACCUGCCAGCUAUACAUACUUAACUUACCAAAGGACAAUCCUGGUGCUGGUUGUUGCUCAGUGUUAUAAAUAAUUUCCCUCAAUCAUUGAUUGAACUAUAUCUCUAAUGCUUUUUAGUAGCAUUUUUUUUUAGGUCAAACAAUAUUCCAAAAAGAAGACGCCACAAGAAACACAGGUAGUGUUUGCGCUUCAUAUGGAUAUGGAGGUUGCAUGGCAAAAGUACAAACUCUGAUUCACCAAAAGGCAGCCUCCUUAUUUUUCUUACUUGUAGGUCUAGCUUGUCACUGACUACAACGGUUCACCAAUAAUAACAAAUUGACAACAAAUGUGAUUCAAUUCGAGUUCAUUUCUAAGAAUUUGAGCAGAUAAUUAGUCGCACUGUGACUUAGACUGAUAGAUCAUAUAGUACUCCAUCCGUCUCGGUGCAUUAGGUAUCUUACGAAAAUCAAAUAAUUUCAAAAUGCUAAGGCAUAUUAUCUAUUACUAUACUAAUUAGAGACUCCCAAAAAAUUACCACGUUAAUUAGAAAAUACGAGCCGUUAAUUUGGUGGGACCAAAGUUAUUACGGUUAGAUGAAUACCUCUAUCGGCCACGUUUAGUUGUUUUUUUUCGUAUAUACACAAACCUUCCCCGAGUAGAUUGGAUCGUAACUAGCAUGUAUUAUUCCACGGGCCAUCUCCAGGAAAGAAAAAUUCCACCGUCCCGGCCUCCUAAUUCUUUCUCUCUCCUCCGUGGUGUAUGCAUCUGGUUGAUGUAUUAUUCCAUCGGCCAUCUCCAGGAAAGAAAAAUUCCACCGUCCCUGCCUUCUAAUUAUUUCCCUCUUCUCCUCCAUAGAUCAUGCAUCUGGUCCUAAGAGUUUUGGCAGUCUACGGCUCUUAACAAGAGAUGUGCACCAAGAAAAGAUUAUACUAGCUAUAGUCAACCCUGUAGAUCGGCUGCAGAAGAAGACUUCUUGGUCCUUGCUGAGAUUGGACUUUGUUGAUGUGCUGAGGGGUGCCAUGCCACGAGCCAAUGGUGAGUACCGCCGGACGACAACUAUUUCUUUUAUGUACGCUACAUCCCGUAGCUGAUCUAUAUGCGCUAAAGGCCCCUACUGGGUAGGUUUGACCUUUGUUGUACGUAUUAAGCAAGAUCAAGGAUUGAUUAUCAUUUCGAGCGUGCUUCAGAUUUUAGUAGUGCAAAAUAAUGACUUCACCAUUAUUUACUGAAUUUUGCAUGAAGCAUAAAUAUAGCUGGUGAAGACAAUAUACUUUAUUUUUGUGGGUUCAUAUCAUUGGUCACAUGUGUAGGAUUAUAUUAUAUUUUCACACAACGUUGGAUAAUAAUACAGAUGUAUCUACUUUUAUCAUAAGUAAGAGAAAAAACACAAAUUAAAAAUUACUAUAUCCUUUGCUAUUUUUUUUUUUAAAAAUGUAGAACUUUCACAUAGUAAUAUACUAAUACAAAGAUAAUUCAUCUGUGGGAAAGAUCUCACAUGCAUGCGUGGGCACACACACCCAUUGUCUAUCAUGUGGCGAUACUCAUGUGUUUUGCUAUCACAAAUAUCUAGAAUCUCCAACCUUCUUUUUUUAGUGAUUUUGAUCGUUUAUAAAAAAAAUAAAUUAUUUUCAUCUAUCUAAUGUAGUUUAAUGGAAAGAUCUGCGAUUAAAGAAAAUUACUCUUUUUAAGUACUCCAUCCGUCCUAAAAUAAAUGUCUUAAAUUUAGUAUAACUUUAUACAAAAUUAGUUCAAAAUUAAUACAUUUAUCUUGGGACGGAGUAAGUAAUAUAUAUAUAUAUAGCCAUGCAUGCACAUGCAUAUAAAGAUGAGAAGUAAUCCACAAAGAAAGUCUGGCCGGACCGGUCAGUAUUUGUUUUCCCACCCACCAUUUUAUAUUGUCUUAUUGUUCUACACUUCUACUAAUCUAUAUGCUCUCAUGUCACAUUCCUUUCCUCCCACAAGAAGUCGUAUCCAUAUUAUUCAUGAGACCGAGAGCAUGCCGACUUAAGUCGUCAAGAAGAUAGAAGAUAUGGAUUCUGUGUUGGGCUGUCUGCGCAUGAACGGUAUGGUUGUGCUCAUCAUUUGGUGACAAUUUCUAGGGAAGAAUACUCUUUUAUGUAUACAAAACUGAAAUAUCUAGACUUAUCAUGUGCAAAUAUUACUAUCAGGAUUCAUCUAUAUUACAUGUACAACCUACUAUAUAAAUAGGAAGAGUUAUGGCCAAAGUCAUUUACUGCAAAUACAUAUUAUUCACUAAAACGAAAGGUGGUAAAGUUUGGCACUAUAAAAAUAGCAUAUAUCAUUAGUUCAUGUAUACCAAUUUCUUAAACCUUUGAUCGUCUCUAAUAUUACCAUAUUUUAUAUUCUCCACCCGAGGUUAGAAAUGCAAGUCGGAAUAUGAGAAGGAAACAUAAGAUUUAAAAAUUAAUGCCUUAUUUCACCAAAUUAUUAAGCAAACAAUAGUGAUCAGAAUAUAGAAUAGUGUUCAUAGAAUUGACAAAAGCAAUAGUAAUUAGAUUGUUCAAUCAUUCACGCAAACAAUGAAUACAUAUGACGGGGCAUAAGCAGCGUGUGUUAUUGAAAUAUACACACAGAUACAUGUCUCCAUGCAGAAUUAUUCAAUAUGCACUUAUUAUUAAUUUUUGUUAAUAUUAUUAAUAUAUUUAUGAUUUUCACUAGGAUUCAUAUUUAUUUGUCAAUUUUUUUUCAUUUCCCUUGCUUUCUGACUAAUAGCACGAUGGAGUUCACAAGGACUUCUCUCGCUGGUGCAUUUAUGUCUUACAUAGUAGUAAGUCUCACUCAUAAAGUCUUCUUUAUGUUAUAAUGUUGAUUUUAUGAGAAGACAAAUAAUUAUUCAAAGUCGCUUCAACAAUGUUAACAUUUUGUUGUUCUAAUAAUAUUAUAAAUUAUCUAUUAAUAUGGUCAACAAUGAAUAUUUCAUGAUACUCGUGCGCAUGCACGGGUUUACGACUAGUAGUAAUUAAUACUAGUUGCAUGCAUAUUAAUUAGACUCCAUCUAUUAAUUAAAGGACCAAUGAUUGCAAUUUAUACAGCACGCUAUUUAGAUUUGAAGAGGUCUCCUAAAUAAUAGCAUGUUUUAGUUGAAAAAGGAAAAGUGUGAUUGGCUUCCUCUGUAAUUUCAUUUCUUUUCCUAUCCAGUCUCUACGUGCUUAGGUUGCAGUGCACUUUUUAAGAGGGUGUUUGUUUACAGGAACUUUUUGGUGUAGGGACUAAAAAAAGUCCCUUAGUCCCAUCUAAACCAAACAUGAGGGACUUUUAGGGACUAAAAGUAGGCUUUUGGUACUAAAGGAAGAAGUCCGUGAAGGAGGGUCUUUUUUGGGACUUUUUGGGUAUUUUUCCAACAAUGUCCUUACUUUUAGCAUGUCAUUUCAUAACCUCUAGUCCAUUACUAGGGGUAAUAUGGUCUUUUAGCAUGUCAUUUAAUAACCCCUAGUCCAUGUUAAGGCCCUCGAACCAAACAUGUACGGACUGCUAGGGACUUUUUAGUUAAGACUAAAAAAAAUUCUAGGACUUCUUAAUCAAACAGGACCUAAGAUGCCUAAUGUAUCGAGACGGAGGGAGUACUUAGUCAAAAUAUAAAGUAUUUAGCUAAUAGUUGAGGGGACGACUGGAUACACUAGUACACAAUGGGGCUAUGCACACAGUUCAGACCCCAAUUGCACACAGUUUUCAGGAACCGUGGGAUCACGUGGACUGGCUAAAGUAAAGUAUUUCAAUGGCUAAAGUAAAGUAGUUCAGACCCCAACUAAUGUAAAGUAUUUAGCUAAUAGUUGGGGGUUUCAUUGCUAUCCAACGGAAACACGUCUGUGAUAACAAACACCCACGCUCAUGUUUGCCUUCUAGCCAAUCACGUGCGAUUGAGGGCACAAUCGCCCACAAUUUUAUAAAGCUAAAUGUGUGCGCACAAUUCCUUUAUCUCUGUAGGUAAUUACAGCAAUGUUUGUGAUUUGACCAUUCAUGAUUAUUUCCCUAUGGAGCGUUUACAUUAAGACGAACAUAACCCACACAUCCUUUACUCAAAUCGUUUGUAUUGUUACAAUCUAUUGCACAUGGUUGCUAUAUUUAACCGUGUCCAAUGUAAUGAUCAGCUCGCAUAUUCAUUAAACAUUUUUGAAUUACACAAACAAUUUUUUAUAUUGUAUAAGCAUUUUAUAGGAAGUUCACAAUAAUAAAUUUAUGUGUAAAAAUUAUUUCAAUAUCACAAACAUUUUCAAUGAACAUUAUCAAUAUUUUGUAGAAGUUACACUACACUUUUUUACACUAAAUGGAAAUUUUAAAUUUGUGGUAAGUUUUUAAAAUUAUGUAAUAAAUUCAUAUUUCAAAUAUAUGUAUUUAUAAUAUCUAAAAAGUAUAAGAAAACAGAAGUAAAAAUAAAACGAAAUACAACUACGUUUUUACUAUAUUUGUCACCCUAACUGUCCUUCCUUCGCUGGUUGUUUUCCAAUAUGAACAUAUUUAUUUUCCAAUAUAUGACCAAUUUUUGUUGUAUACAUCCAACAUUUUAAUACACAUCCAACAGUUUUCUAAUAUAUAUAAAACUAUUUUCUUGAUACGUUAUAAACAUUUUUGUAGUAAAUUUCUUUAAUGGGUAUUUAACAGUUUUCUCUUACAUGGUGAAGUUUUUUAAUAUAUACUGAACUUUUUAUAAAAUGCACACCAAACAAAUUUGUAAAAGAUAUGUUUAUAUAUUUUAAUAGGCUUUUAAAAAUGUACCUCCUAUGAUUUGUUGUGACAAAGAUCCAAAGAAAUAACAGGCUGUUUUUCUAACAAAUAACUAAAAGCCCAAGAAACCAAGAAAACAGCUCACCAGAAGAAUGGACUGGCACAUUUGCUCCUGCCUUCUGAGAAGGCUCGACUAUUUUCCACCUGUGGGCGUCAAAUAGGAGCUCCAUCUUACUGAGGGUGAGAACUAGUCGGCCCCCCCGAUAUCGGGUCCAUCUGGUCUUGAGAACUAGUCGCUCCCCCCGAUAUCGGGUCCAUCUGGUCUUGUGUGCAAAAACACGUUGCAAGAUAUUUAACUAAGGCUACUAGAAGUUCAACUUUUUGCAGGGAGCACACAUUAAAAUUUGCCAGAGCAUGUUAUAGAUUCAGUAAUUAAGAGCCAAUACAAUAUAAACGUUUGAAUUUGUGGAACCAAACAAAUUGAUAUUCUUUUACAUAUAUUUCGGAUACAAGGUACAAAUUGAAAUAAUUACCUACUUUAAAAAAAUUAGAGUCCUUAUUAAUACAUGUAUAUUAAAUUUUAAUUAUAUCAAAAAUUAGAUAUAUUUUAAUAUUUCAAAAUAUUACAUAACUAUGCAUUUAACAUUAUAAUGUAGUAUCUUCCAUGUAGAAAAAAUAUAUUAUAAAUCAAUAUUUUUGGAAGCUACACCAACCAACCCAUAAUAUAAGAGCAUGUUUUUACACUACACUAGUGUAAAAAAACGCUCUUAUAUUAUGGGACGGUGUUAGUAGUACUCAAGGUACAUUCACUUGAUGUUUGAACAAUAAAACAUAUAAAUUAUUAUAUAUGAAUAUAUUUUGGUGAACACUAAUGUGAAAGGAAGUUGUAGUGUAAACUUGAAGGGAAAGAAAUAGAAAAAUGUAUUGUGGAGUGCAAAAUUCUGUUUGGUGGAGCACAACUUCUUAGUAUGCCUUCAAUGUUAUGAUGCUGAGGCUAGUAACAACAAAGUUGGUUCUUUAUGCCAAGAAAUGUUCUCUAUCCGCUUUGUUGAGUUGUAUGGAGUGUCGUGUUCUUCUCCUACCAAAAAAGGCUGGGCAUGUGAUGAUUCUUGUAUUGUUAGAAGUGUACACCACGAUAAGACAAGCUUCGAUGAUGCUCUGUGCAAGAUUGCAUUCAUCCUUUUCUCCUAAAGAUAGAUAAGCAUUACUUUAUCUGGUGAUGUGUAGGCACAUAAUACUGACUAAAUAAAGCAAAAUGGGAUAUGUUCUUUCAAGGUACCACCAUCCAUGUGAAGCUAGCCUGGAGUACAUCGUUAGCUUACUUUGUGUGCACAACGACACAUUAUAAGGAGUCGAGCCUGAUUUCCUAUAUAUACACAUUAAGCUGAUGACAUGACAGAUCAACAUCUCGCAGUCACACAGGCAAUCUAAUCAGUCUAACAGGUUAGGAUGCGCAUGCUAGAUCUACUCUUUUAUAAUAGUUUUGUGAAGAUGAUUUUGUGUGACAGUUUCGGUUAUUUGUUUUGAUCAAAGGAAGCAAGCGUAACAAGGAUGAGUUCCAUGGAGAAGAAGCCGGAGGGAGUGAACAUCGGUGCUGGUGACCGUCAAAACCAGAAGACAGAGUGGCCAGAGUUGGUGGGGAAAUCGGUGCAGGAGGCCAAGAAGGUGAUUCUGCAGGACAAGCCAGAGGCGCAAAUCAUAGUUUUGCCGAUGGGGACAAUUGUGACCAUUGAAUAUCGGAUCGACCACGUCCGCCUCUUUGUCGAUAGACUCGACAACAUUGCCCAGGUCCCCAGGGUCGGCUAGCAAGCUUGAGAGCUAGCCUGCUGCUGGCGUGUAUGUAUUGCAGCUUCACCAUCUCUUCUUGGCUAUAGCAAGAUUGAGAUUUAUAAAUCAUAUACAAUAAGAGUUGCUGCGGAAAACCAGAAUGUGGAACUUGAAAAACACGGUUAUGAAGUAUAACCGUCAAAACCAUAAAAGUAGGAGAAUCACCGAGUAAAUGUAGAGCUGAAGCAAGGGCAAAGGCAAACAAGUAACCAUGUUGCUAUCCUUCUGCCAGGCCCGACUCCUCCAAAGAAAAAAACAACUACCCAAGAAGUUGGCCUCCAAAACCAGGCACAUCCGUCAACCAUGAGUAUGGUGUGGGCUCUUUGGUGACUAUUCCAAGCAGAAAAAUUAGAACUGUGGAUACCACUAUCACCGAAAACACCUUCGACUCAAUUAUUUCGCUUGGAGAAUUCCACAUCGCCGCCUCAGUGAGCCCAUGAGAAGGUCUGACUUAUCUUACCAUCGGCAUGUCCCCUCAAAUCUAGAUGAGCAAUAUCCAACAAAGAAGACAAAACAAACUAUUUUGAUGAUGCUUUCAAGGAGGGCAAGACACCCACAAGCACAGUCAAUGGUGGCGUAAACACUUGUUGACUCAUAGUUCGGCCCAAAGUGUUGCUUCUUCAGCCCAAUGAAUCCCGCCGAGGAGGCCUAACACCAACUUGUGCCAUAUCUCAUAUCAGAAACACCUGGCGAUAGAUGAUUUGUGACAACGGUCAAAAUUACAACACAAUUUCAUAUCUAACAAUUAUCCAUGACAAUCACAUCUAAAUUCUGCACCACUCACUGUCUCGUAUAUCAUUAUCUUUCCGUCCAUGAAGCUUAGACAAUAUGCAUCGUACUCUACCGCUUCAUGAUUAUGGAUCCAGUCAUUGUGUCAAAUAUGAGAGUAUUCCGGGGUACAUCGUCGAUUGUCUCAGAACCAAGCAAUUAUACAAAACAUGACAUUGAUAUAUGUUAACGAAUUUCACCAACAUGGCUAUACCCAAGGGCCUAACUACAGACGCGCCUCCCGCAACACUUUUACAAUACCGCACACUGGACCUUAGGUGCCGACACAUGCCACCAGCUCUCCAGAAACUACACCGUAUCAUUUCUACAUUGUGCCAUUUGAAGUCUUCCUUGUACAAAAUAUUCGACACAACUCUAACAAGCUUCAGCUUGGUGAAUAUUCUCUACCACCUUGAAUUCAUCUAUGCGUCGAACCUUCAUGUACUUUGGUCUUGAGUUACGCCAUGAGUACCACUUCUACUCCCAGACUCCAUGUGACUUCAACUGCAACUGUAGUUUCUUCUUUUCUUCUUCAUGAUCAACACUCAAGCAAAAUUUAUUCUAGUUUGCGCUCCAAACUUUCAGAGCAUCUGUUGGACGACGUCACACACCGCCCAUAAAGUCAUCAUAUUCGACAACACACAUGUAUCGUCACGUUGGUAACUUCUUCGUUGGUCUACGUUAAAGUGGACGACUCACAUAUUGGAUGUUACAUAUAAGAGUUAGCUGAACUCAAUAUCCUUGCUCUCCUUGACCGCGUGUCUAAAAUUUAAACGAAUUUCACUGUCACCCUAUGUCAUGCCAAGUAAAAUUCGCACUUCUCUCACCAUUUUUCAGAUAGUUUCUGGCAUGUCCCACCGUUAUAGCACUUCACCUACUUCUGUAUUUGUCUAUGUGCCCUACGAAUUUUCGGUAGCUAGGUAGUAGUUGGAAAAUAAUAUAGUAAGUCCAUGAUUUUCUGGAGACUACAAUAUAAUAAAUCCAUUGUUUUCUUGGAGAGAUGAUGCUAUUACCAUCAUAUUAAUAUUUCGAUUUUAGAAUACCUGAAAACGUUAUCCUGCAUCGCGUACGUGGAAGUAAGCGUCAAGACCAUAUCAAUUCGCUAGCGACCUAUAGGUUGCUUGCUUGACCCAAUUUAAUGGAUGUAUCCACGAAGAAGCCAUGCAUGCAAGUCGUGUGGCACGUACGUGUACCUAGCUACUAGAACCAACCAUGGAUGGAAAAUGAAGUUGCUACUACCUACCAGUAAUCUCUCUACUAUAUAUACAUCACACGGCCGUUACUGAAUAUCAUCGGCCAUUCAUCAUCACUUUGGAGAAGAUCGGGUUCGGUUUAGCUCGUAAGUAAUACUAUGCCUGCUGCCCGAGUUAUUAAUCUUCUCAUUUUGUUGUUGGUUUUUUCUAAGGUCUUGUUGUUGAAUUUUCUUCAUUAAGCUAGCAUUGUUGCUCGACCGUAACCGGUGCAACGACCAUGAGCUCCUCGGGGGCCGCCGUCGGUGAGUGCAAGAAGACGUCUUGGCCGGAGGUGGUCGGCCUGACCAUCAAGGAGGCCAAGGAGAUCAUUCUCAAGGACAAGCCUGAAGCCGACAUCGUCGUCGUGCCGGUUGGCUCAGCGGUGACCGAAGACUUCAGGCCCAACCGUGUCCGCAUCUUCGUCGGUACCGUCGUCGAGACCCCCCACGUUGGCUAGUUGGGUUGCCCUUGCUUGCGGUGGCCGGCAUAGACGAUGCUGGCUCAUGAAUAAAUUCAUAAUGGAUGAAUAAGAAUGUAUGGAACUCGUGUAUGUUUGAUCGGUCAAGAAUCUACAGGUUUGUGUGAACUGUCAAGUGUCAAGUUCCAUCCAUAGACUAUUGAGGAAAAUUUAGAUCUACGCGUAUUCCCGUUGUUUUGACUGUAUUUUUCAAGCAAUCCGAAGUUCGCAAAUCACUUUUAAUCAUCAAUUCACGAUCAAAUAUCAAUCCCAUAAAUGAGAUUGUGUGAAUUACUAGGAACUGAAAUGAAUUUGAAAAAUUUAAAUAUAAGUAGAGAAGAUCAUGAUUUAUAUUAAACAACACAAUGCAAAUAGCCCAAGUAGCAACCACUUCCGCAAUGAAAAGUUUCAGCGAAGGAAACUUAUCUAGUCAAGAUCACAUGCAUGCAUCCAAGGGAGCUGUCAACUGGUAGCAGGGUUUGAAUCUGACCUCGGGGGUUGCAAACACAGCUAGUUUAGUUUAUGGCGCUCGGAGGCCGCAUCCAAGGGGCAUCUUUUGAAUAGCAUACGUCCCAAGAUGCACCACAUGACAUGGGUGCAAACUGUCUAUCUAAUAAUCUACAAACAGCCUAUCUAAUGCAUGCAUACACUCCACUGACUAGCUUACUCUCCCCAAAGAUCUAGAUCACUGCCCACAAGCAACCAACUCCACGCAUCGAACAAGCAAGCUAGCUGGCCAUGGCAAUGCAUGUGGUGACUGGUGCCAUGGGAAGCCUGCUCCCCAAGCUGGGCCAGUUGCUCAUGGAGGAGUACAAGCUGCACAAACGCGUCAAGAAUGAUGUCGAGUUCCUGCGGAAGGAGCUUGAGAGCAUGCACACUGCCCUUAUCAAGGUUGGUGAGGUACCGCGGCACCAGCUCGACAAGCAAGUCAAGCUCUGGGCCGAUGAAGUUAGAGACCUCUCCUACAACAUGGAGGAUGUGGUUGACAAGUUCCUCGUACGUGUCGAUGGCGUUGAUCCUCACGACAACACCGACAGAUUCAAGGGGAUCAUGAGGAAGAUGAUUGGCUUGUUCAAGAAAGGCAAGAAUCACCAUCAGAUAGCUGACGCUAUCAAGGAGAUCAAGGAGCAACUCCAGGAGGUGGCCGCUAGGCGUGACAGGAACAAGGUCGAGGGUAUUGCCUCUAAUCCCAUGGAAGCAAUACCUAUCGAUCCUUGUCUUAGAGCUUUGUAUGCUGAAGCGACAGAGCUAGUUGGUAUCUACGGGAAGAGGGAUGAGGACAUCAUGCGGUUGCUAUCCAUGGAGGGCGAGGACGAUGCCUCUAACAAGAGACUGAAAAAGGUCUCCAUCGUUGGAUUUGGUGGGUUAGGCAAGACCACUCUUGCCAAAGCAGUAUACGAAAAUAUCAAAGGUGAUUUUGAUUGUCGGGCAUUUGUCCCCGUCGGUCAGAACCCUGACAUGAAGAAGGUUUUUAGGGAUAUCCUCAUAGAUCUCCGUGUGUCUAACUCAGAGCUUGCGGAAUUGGAUGAAAGGCAGCUUAUCAACAAGCUUCAUGAAUUUCUCGAGAACAAGAGGUAUGUAUCGCUUACACGAAAAUGGCACUAUGAUGAUAUGUUUGUUUCAUAGAGUUUUUUACGGUACCUUAUACUGCCACUUGGAGAGGAGCAGUAGAAGCCUCAUCUGACCGUUGAUUUCUAGAGUAUUAUGGACUUGUUUAGAGGGUAAUUAGGUCAAUAAUUCUAACUUCCCUCUUAAUCAUAAAGGAUGUUAUCUCGUUUUUUUAAUGAAAUUUUUUUGCCGCCACAACUACCUCAUUAGAAUAAGUAAAGGCUGACAAGAUUAAUUGUUUAAACACAAAUCUCAGUGUAAUUAUCAAAAGAACAUCAUAAGUUUCUAUUCGGAAAAGCUCUUCGUUUCAUCCGAAUUUAGGAAUAGAUAAGGACAUGGGGGAUUGGAGAAGACGCCGACGUGAUGAUGGUGCAAGGGGUUAGCAAUCCUUGACAUGUAAGUGAGUUUGUCGAGCACCUUGCUCUGCUUCUGCAGGUCUUUCCUUGUCUUGCCUGCAGCUACAGAGGUGUCCUUUGCCGCUGCAAACAUCUUGCCGGGGUAACCGAGCAAAACUUGGGCAGUCUAGGGUAUCCAUAUCGUCUGUCGUUGUUGUAGGCAUAGAGAUGGCAGUGAUGCUAAUCGCUGAUAGCGACUCAGCCUAGAGAUCCGGUGCGGAAAAUACACAUCUCAGUGCGGCAAGAAUUUUCAGCAUAGUGAUGAUUUUGCCCUUGUCGCUUGGUAUACUGCUCAUGAUUUUGAUGCAUCUCGUUUGUGCACUGCUCGUUAGUCUAAGCAGUACAAGUGGAUCUACAAUGUUAGAUUAAGGAGAAUGGUUGGAUCAGGUUCAUCGGGGGUACCGUUAAAGAGCUUGUUUCCUAUGGUAGUUGUAUAAUUAAUAAGGUGUACAAACAUUCUAACGACACGUAGAAUUCUGAAGAAUGAUUAUUUUCACUAAGGUCAUCCUUUCUGAUAUAUAUGUAGUUGACAUCUGGCACUUAACUGUAAGCACUAUAGAUGCUAAAUUUCAAGCAUGUAUAGGUACAUGUCUUAGAGUUUACACUAUAGUUCAGAUAAUUUGAACCCUGUAUAAGCAAUUUCCUUGGGUUUUACUCCUUUGAAACUUAAAUCCUUAUUCAUUUAGCUUGCCUUUUUUAGUAAAAUUCAUUUUGCUUGUUAACAUCAGAUUGUUUACUUUGAGGUGCACACUUCUUAUUAUCUUGUUUCUGAAUGUACACUAAUAAUCAAUCCAGACAACUAUUGAUAUGACCCCUCUCUACUUUGUCAUGUGCACAAACCUUACACUAAUACUCUCAACUAAUGUAGGUACCUUGUCAUCAUUGAUGACAUAUGGGAUGCAAAAUUGUGGGAAAGAAUCAACUUUGCUUUCUCUAACAGGAACAAUUUAGGCAGUCGUCUAAUAAUCACAACCCGCAUUUUCAGUGUCUCCAAAUCAAGUUGCAUGUUGCCUGAUGAUGCAGUUUAUGAAAUGAAACCUCUUUCUGAUGAUGACUCCAGAAGUCUCUUCUAUAAAAGAAUAUUUCCUAGCGAGAGUGGAUGUCCAAAUGAAUUUGAACAAGUGUCUGAAGACAUUUUGAAGAAGUGUGGUGGGGUACCACUAGCUAUCAUUACUAUAGCUAGUUCUUUGGCUAGUGGCCAAAAGGUAAAGCCAAAGAGUGAAUGGGACAUCCUCCUCCAGUCCCUUGGCUCUGGACUAACAAAAGAUAACAGUUUAGAGGAGAUGCGGAGAAUACUCUCUUUCAGCUAUUAUGAUCUACCCGAUCAUCUGAAAACUUGUUUGUUGUACCUAUGUAUAUAUCCAGAAGAUAGCAUGAUUGAUAGAGAUAGACUUAUAUGGAAGUGGGUGGCCGAAGGAUUUAUCCACCAGGGAAAUCAAGGGACUAGCUUGUUUUUGCUCGGAUUAAAUUACUUCAACCAACUUAUUAAUAGAAGUAUGAUCCAGCCAAUAUAUGAUGGUCUAGGCGAGGUAUCUGCUUGUCGUGUUCAUGAUAUGGUUCUGGACCUUAUCUGCAACUUGUCACAUGAAGCAAAAUUUGUCAAUGUAUUGAAUGGCACACGAGAUAGCAUGUCUUCUCAGAGCAAUGUUCGUCGUUUGUCCCUUCAAGAUGGAAGUAAAGAUCACCAAGGCAGACCUCUCAGGAAUUUCACGGGUAUAUCACGAGUGAGGUCAAUUACUAUCUUCCCACCUGCUAUUAAUAUCAUGCCAGCCCUGUCAAGGCUUGAAGUUUUACGUGUACUUGAUCUAUAUCACUGUAAUCUUGGGAAAAAUAGCAGCCUGCAGCAUAGGCUUAGGGAUGUUGGACAUCUGAUUCACCUAAGGUACCUAGGCCUAGCAGGUACUAAAAUUAGUGAACUCCCGGCUGAGAUUGGAAACCUACAGUUUCUAGAGGUGUUGGAUCUUGAAGACAAUUCUGAACUACGUAACUUGUCGUCGACUAUUUGUAAGUUGAGAAGAUUAAUCUGCCUACAUGUUCAUAGGGAUGAGGUGGCUCCGGGUGUGUUGCAGAAUCUCACAUCCAUUGAAGUGUUGAGGAGGCUCGUUGUGUCUCUGAAUACUGUUGCACAAGAGCUUGGCAACCUAGUAAGGCUGAGGGAGCUUCUAGUUUGCUUCAUCAAUGUUGGUUUGGAUUUGUAUGAAGGUUUUGUGAAGUCUGUGUGCAACCUACAUCACAUCGAAAGUCUUCGUAUCUACAGUGUAAGAGCAUCUUCAGAACUCAUGGAUCUCUUGGGAGAACGAUGGGUUCCUCCUGGACAUCUCCGCAGAUUUGAGGCACACAUGCCUAGCCAACUUUCGGCACUACGAGGGUGGAUAAUGAGAGACCCCUUGCAUCUCUCGAACCUCUCCGAUUUAGUCCUCACGUCAGUAAAGGAAGUGCAACAAGAGGACAUGGAAAUAAUUGGGGGCUUGUUGUCCCUUCGAGGUCUCCAGAUAAAGAGCACCCAGCAAACGCAACGGCUGCUAGUCAUCCGUGCAGAUGUGUUCCGUUGUAUGAUAUGCUUUGACUUGGAUUGUGGAUCAGGAGCGCAAAUAGUGUUUGAACCAGGAGCUUUGCCGAGGACGGAAGGACUUAGGUUCAGCCUCGGCGUGCGGGUGACGAAAGAGGAUGGUAACCAUGGCUUCGACUUGGGCCUGCAGGGGAACCUGCUCUCCCUUCGGACGUUUGUGUGGGUUCAAAUCUAUUGUGGUGGAGCGAGGGUGGGGGAGGCAAAGGAAGCGGAUGCUGUGGUGAGGCACACACUCAGGUCCCAUCCCAACCAUCCCGGGAUUAUAUCCCUUAUGUUUAAUAUGAUCCCGAAUAUAGCAGAAGGUACUCACCAGUCACCCCGCACCCUACUAAUUAAUUACUCGUGCACUUAUGUAUGUGCUUUUUCUCAAUGACGAACUGACCUUAUUGCUUUCUGCAUGUAUUUUGAUGUCUGAAUCUCCCAAGAUGCUCAUGAUGACGAUUUGUGUGAGCACGAGGAGAAGAAGGAGUGUGAUUUUUUGUAGGUCCAUCUGCAUGGUACCCUCUAUCCUCACCGUCCCUCAUGGUCUCUGCUCGAUAGGGAUGUGAGCGAUGCGUCGGAGGGAUCACUGCUUAAUACACUGGCGGAUACCUAAACAGAACCGAGAUUCCUAUUAAUUGUAUCUUCCUAGCACCUAGUCUGACAUCUAUGCUGUGGAAUAUCAGCAUCUCAUCUAUUCGUCGGAGCGCCACUCAAGGAUUGACGGCUUCUCGGACCCACGAUGGUGUCAGACGAUGCAACAAACAUCUCUCGUAUUCACUGUAUUUUCCUAUAAAUAAUUUCUGUGACCACGACAGCAUCUCGAAUGCACGAAAGGAAAUACAUUUGGAAUCUUUUUCUUAUUGUCAGAUAGGUGUGCAUCAAAAGGUUCUUUGGUCAAGCCAUCGUGAUUUUUCUGUUCAAUUCGUGUAUUGUCCUUCGGGUUCAUUUUCAAAGCUGUGGUGUAUAGAACGGAUUUUUUUUGUUCUACUAGUUAGAUGCCCGUGCUACGUUAUUAGUAAAACAUUAUUUUCUUAAGUUAUAAUCAAGAGACUUGUACAUCGCAACGAGAGAUUUUUUUUUUUUUACUUUACUCAACAUUGAUCAAAGCCACCUUAUAUUAUAGAUAGGUCCACAACUCAAUAUAUGGUUUCGAGCUGAUAACCCCUUGCUCCAAGCCAAACACUUUCUUCUCCAUUUUCACCUUACAAGAAGACCUCGUGUUCUUCUUACUCGGGUUUCUCAAUGCUUGCUCCUUCCUAUAUUGAGGGGCAUAGAGCAUCUAGUAAAUAGAGAAUCCAUCUACACUCAUUUAACAAUUAUCACGAUUUGACCAACUUUAUCUGUAUCUGUGAUAACGAAACAACGAAACUGCUCCUCUCCUUCCCCCCUCCCGUGUCGCCCCGCUUGCGACAGGGAGGGCGACCACACCGCCGCCGCCAGAGGCCUUCUCCACCCCGCUCCUCCCCCCUCGCCGCCACCAUAGGGUGUGGCCAGGCAAAGCCUGGCCGGCGACGGCGGCGGCGGGGCGUUCUCGGCUCCUUGCGCGGUGGCCCCGAUGCGGGACGGGGAGGCCACGGCGGGAUGCGGCGCUAGCGACGGGCGCAGCGGCGCGGCGGCUCUUCGGCGCAGUCUCGGCGGCGGCGAAGCGUGGACUGUGUGCCGGGCGGCGCGGUGGUGGGGAGGCAUGGCCGUGGAGGCGGCUUCUCUCGGCUUCGAUCUGGAUCGGGCGGGGGAGUUGCCUGGCGGGCGGUGUGGGCUGGAGCCGGGGCGGCCCCGACGCGGUGGUGCGGAGCGGCGCGCUCGGCCAUGACGGCCCGCUGUGGAGGCGGGCGGCAAUGGCUUGGCGGAGCUAGAUGCGGGCGCGUGCGAUGGCGUGCAUGGCGGAUCUGGCGCCCUCGGUGGCGCGGCCGUGUUCGGUGGUGGUGCAUGGGGCUCGGGAGUGUGGCGGCAUAGGGGAGGUAAUGUGCUGCCGGCGCGGCAAGGGGAGGAGCUGGGGCGCAGCGGCAGCGUCGAGCUGGCGCAGGAGGAUGCGGCGACCGCAGGAGGCGCCACGGGCUUGGUGCAGGCGCGGGGUCUGGCGGACCGCUUGCGCGCGCGGAUGUGGCGCGGUCUGUUGGGGCCGUGGCGGCGGCGGGCAUGGGCAACUUCGAUGGUGGUCGCGUUUGGAGGGCUUACUGACGUCAAUGUAGGAUGAUGUGUGGUUUAGGUGGUGUGGAGCUUGGUGAAAACCAUGUCUUGGCCUCGUGCCGUGACCAGCGAUGGCGACGGCUGUGGCCAUCGUUGACCUUCUUGGAGGCAUCGUUGCUUGUUCUCUCACCCCUCGUGCGCGGAUCUGGCCAUUUCGGUCUCUCCGGGGGGAAACCUUGAUCUGCGAUCGGAUGAUGAUGACGCAUUGGUGUCGUAUUCCCUCUUGAGGGCUUCGUUUUGGGAGCUUGGCGUCGGUGAGCUGGACCGGUGGACGGCGGUUGGUGGCGGGUGCGGCUUCCAGACUUCUGUGGCAACGAUGAGGGUGGGAGCGAUGUCGGCAACGCGGCAAUGGUUGCGGUAGUCGGCUCUUCUUCGGCGUGUCUAUGGUUUUGCCUCGCUUUGUUUGUUGCUGUGGAGUCGAAGCUGCGGCGGAGGGGCCUGUGGUAUACGAUGACUGGCUGCAGAUAGCCCGUUCGGCGAUCCUUCGUGGUGCCAGCCGUGCCUGGUUUUGUCCUACAAAGUUCUCCGUCAGAGUCGGAGCUGCGUUGUUUGGCUGUAGGUCGACGUGUCGUCGAUAAGGGUGGGCUUUGACCUGAGUGUGUCAGUCUAUGGAAGUGGGCUAGACCCUUGUUGUAUCGGUUUUUGCCCAGUUUUCCGUGAUUAACUGGGCAAUUCUCUUCUGCUUAUUUAAUAGAUGAGGCAAUCUUUGCCUCCGUUUCAAAAAAAAAAACCAGCUUUAUCUGUGAGUCCAAGUCAAUAAAUGUCUCCAGCUCCUCUUUGUCAACGGAAAAUGUGUCAGAAAAAAUGAUGUUGUGGCAUUCCCAAUCACUUUGCACAAUUUAAAAUAAAACAAGUACCUUAGACAAACUCCAAAGCACGGCAGCAAACAGACGGUCUCUUUGUCCGGUUAGCGUCCGUUUGCGCCGAAUAUACGGAUGUCCAUGUUUGGCUUUUGCCUGAGGCCCCUACGCAGCCGACUCAUCCGAAAAGGUGACCGGCCGCGGCCGCGUGCACGCUCGAACCUACGGGCCCGCCGUGUCCAACGGGGCUGCUUCAGCAGCGCCCGAUGCCAUCAUGGUUGAGGCCGUUAGUCGAUGAUGCGCCUUGCCACGCCCACGCGCACUCGCCUGCCCUUGCCCACGCGCUCGCCAGAUCCAGGUCGCCUCAUACUCUCAGGGUCACAGAUCUUGCACUACCUUAAUAAAGCUUUGUCCUGACAGCCAAACCUAUGCCGACGACCCUCAUCAACAUACCACGACCUAUACCGACGGCUGCCGGGAUACCUUCAGGGUAGAAACAUCAUCGGCGUAUAUCAAGAUAUGCCUACAAUGCGCGUUGACAUAGGGUCACCGUUGACAUAGAAGUGGGCCCGGGUGCCCGGUGGUAGAUGGCGCGUUGACACCGUCAAAUAUAUGCCAACGAGACUGAUGGUGGCCGUCGCCAUGGGCUAAUAGCUCAUGUGCGACGUAUUUUGUGGAAAUUGGAAGGAGUGAGACAUUGUUCGAGCGAAUGGUUGUGGUACGACAUAUUUGAGCACCUAAAUAGCCCAGGCAAAACAUGGCCCUUAAACUAAACUUAUGCCUUCAUUUGCUAUUAGGGGAUGGACCCACCACUUAUCCACGUAAGCACGGGACCCACCACUUGUCCAUUUAAGUGCGGGACCCACCUCUUCGCAUCUAGAAGAGACGAGCGUCUGUGCCCGUCCGCCCGCCGCCGCCCAUUGCUUCCCCUUUCCCCAAUCUUUCUCUUCUCCGACGACCUAGCGUAGAUGUCUACCUCCUACGCCACACAUUCAAAAUGGCAACAAUAUGGUCUAAUGCCUCUCACAAGGUGUCCUGACUGCCUACGCCGAGAGCCUCUUAAACGUUGAGUCUGUAAGACUGAUGACAAUGGAAACCUUGGGCACGAAUUUGUGAAAUGCUUGAGCAAAACAAUGACAGAAAGGGCUGCCAUUUUCUCUGAUUUCUCCAUAUUUCAUUUUUUUUCUCUUCGAAUUUGGGAUUUAGAGUUCAUGUUGUUGUUUUUAGAUCCUCAAAAAGUGUACCCAUUCUGAGUGGAUAGAUGAUUAUAAUGAAAGAAUUCAAUUUAAGGGCUACAUUGAUUCGAGCGGGGCCGCAAUCUGGGAGCUCAAUUUGGGCGAGGAGCCGCCGAUUGUUGUGGAGAAUUUGGGGAGUUCGGAGAAACGGGCGUGCAAAGUCCUGCCGAUGGUGAGGUAUGCACGCAAUGUUGAACUGCACGCGGAGUCUGAACUGAAUGAGGAGCUGAGGAAGAUCAGGAAACAUCUAAUGCAGAUGAUCGAUUUGCAGAAGCAAGCAAAUAUCAUGGCAGGGGGUUCUAUUGUUGUAUCAUUGCUCUGUUUUUCUUUUACUUGUUAUUCAACCAUCAUUACAAUGGGCAUUUAGUCCUGUUAGGGCAGAGGACGCGAUUGUUACCUCUUGAGCUUGCGUUGGUUUUCCCUUAAAGAGGAAAGGUUGAUGCAGCGAAGUAGAUAAGUAUUUUCCUCAGUUUGUUGAGAACCAAGAUAUCAAUCCACUAGGAGAAACAAGGGAGGCCCCAAUAGUAGUACCUACACAAACAAUCAAACACUUGCACCCAACACUAUAAAGAUGUUAUGGCGUCCGCAAGACUAUUAGUUUCAUUGAGAUAGACCCUCCUAAAGUACGUAGCGUACUAGCACAAGUAAAGAAAUCAUUGAGAUAGACCCUCCUAAAGAGUAGUAGUUGUAAAAAAGGGAGAAAACAUAAACUGCAAAUAAUUAACCCCUGUAGCACAUCCAUCCACACAAUUGGAAAAGAAAAGUACACAACUCGCCUAGUUUUUUCGUAUCCACACAAGAACAAGUACAAUACCAGGUUUAUAGAUUGUUCACAUGGCAAAAAAAAUAUGUGAACGAGAGAUAUAUGUAAAAAGUAAGUAGAAUGGACUUUCAUGAAAGACCCUACCUCCACGAAGCUCCUGGGCAAAUACGGUAAAUAAAAAGAAAGAGAAAGAGAGAAGAAGAAAACAAUAUACGGAUUUAAUAGCCGAACAUACUUGCUUGAUUAUAGUAGUAGAUAAUUAUAGAUGAUAUGGCAAUAUUAUAUGACUGAUAGUUAGUUGUGUUUUGAACGAAAGUGACAUUUAGACGGGCUAUAGGCCCCAUGUCAUACCAGUGUUGUAGGCGAAACUCAUGGAUUUGCGAGAACGCUAUAAUUAAUUACGACGUAAUCCUCCGUCUUAGAAUAUAAAAGCGUUGCACAAAAAAUGGGACGGUAGUACUCCCUCCGUUCUAAAAUAUAAGACCUUUUAGAGAUUUUAUUAAAAGACUACAUAUCAUUAAAAGACUACAUACGAAGCAAAAUGAGUGAAUCUAUACUCUAAAAUAUGUCGAUGUAUAUCCGUAUGUAGUUCAUAGUGCAAUCUCUAAAAUGUCUUAUAUUUAAAAACGGAGGGAGUAGUUGACACCAAAAUGGGAGCAAACUGCAAAUAAUUAACCGUGGAGCACAUCCAUUCACACAAUUGGAAAAGAAAAUUACAUGGAUCCAUAAGUAACAUGCUGGUUGUCAGCGCGCACUAAUUCAUCCUUUAUUGAAAUUAUUACUUGGCCAUCAGCAGACGUGAUGCCUGCCGCGAGCAAAGGUAGCUAGCUAGCCGAUGUGAGGAGUGGUCGCGACAGUGUCAACGAGGAUGCGGACACGGUUGCUCCUCCAGUCUGCGGAAACCACGGAGUCGGUAGGGUGGACUUCGAUGUCCACUUCAGGCAUGUCCUUGAGGAUGACCUCCCUGGCGUCCUCGAUGGACUUCCCCACUAACUCCGGCCAUGACGACUUCUUCUCCUCACCGGCGGGUGCUUUUGGGUCAGCGCAGCUCAUCCUCGAUUCCUUGAGCUGCAAAACAAUUGAUUGAAAUAGUUCAGUUCAAAGACUACAGAUUGUUGUUGCCAACCGACAACCCUAGCUACCUCUCCUUCUCAACUCACUCGCUCGAACAAGAAAGAAGGAAGGAGAUGAACACAGUGGACACAAGUUUAUCCGGCCGGCGCACGAACGCCGCCAUGGACGCACGAACGCCCGAAUCUUUUUUCUCUUUGCAUUGUCUACAUGGUGCUCAACUCAGUGCAUUACAGUCAUCCCGCGGUCUACAGAAUUUAUACCCGGGCUGGCGCACAACGCACAGCCCACCCCGUCCGCAGGAUCCGCAUGCCCCGCCGCGCGCGCCCACGACGCGCGCGCCACGGCCGAUCCCAACGGGUCGCCUACCUAGCCAGCUAACUUUCUCACCGAAAUGUACGCGCCCAUGCGCGCUCGUCCGACGACCCAGCCAAGCCAACAAACUAGCUAACUAAUCAGGGCAUGCAGUAGCAGAAUCACACACCCAUGCACACAGAUCACACACACGAGCACAUACUCAUGGGUGGCUUAUUCCUAACACAGAUCACAAUAACAUUUAAAUUACGGUUCAGACUACAAAUCACAGUGACGCUAAUGCUAGCCAUCUUGCUCUAGGGACUCAUGUACAUAAAUCAUAUGGGACUGGGAACUUAAGACUACUCACCAGCUAAAUGGGAUCGAGCUUACCCUGAACUUGACUGAUACGAGUAUUUGCAUAACCCAUUGCUUGUAUGCCUAUUUAUAGGGUGCUCCCACAUGUAUGCUGAGUUGCUGACAGGGCAGGAGUGAAGAUAAGAUGCUCUCACACACAUGCAGGCGUGGAGCACGAGCAUUUGUUUCGUUGCGCUAACUUGGCGCAUAUACAGAGAAGAUGCUCUCUCACAUGCAUGCAUGUAGCGUGCGUGGUACACGACGCGGUGGCUGCUAAAUUGGCCGCAUCUUGAUUUCGUUAGGCUCGUUGUAAUGGGUAGUAUCAUAUACUAAUAUCAUUCAUAUGAUACUAGCAUAUGACACCACAUCCGUAAUACAUAGUAUCAUAUGUUACUAUCAUAGUGUAGUUCAUUUAUUGCCAUACAAGACACAUAGUAGCACAUCAUUUAAUACGAUACGGUAUGAUGAUAUGAUACUCAACCCUCUCUUUCUUCAUUUAAUUCUAUGCCACCUCAUAAAAAAUGCCUAGUUGACAUGUAUGAUACUACCUAUGAUACUACCAUUAUACGGACAGCCUUAUGGAUAACACGUAUGCUGAAGAAGAUGACAACGUACCGCAUGAUUCACGGGCUGAUCGAUCGUGUAGAUCAUGUGAGAACGGGCUUCAUUGAUGAAAAGGUCAAGACAUGAGUAUCUGACUCAUGCGGGCCUGAGCUAAUCUUACAUUUUCAAGAAGUUAUCCCAAUUCUCUUAACAUGUAAGAUAUCCACCUUAACAUCCCACAAAACAAUGCAUUUAAAUUUUCUCUCCCACUAAAUCAUGUAAAAUCUGCCACAUAGACGCUUUUAACAUGCAUAGUGUUCACCUCAAUGUUUCACUUAGUCAUGCAAAGUCUGUCACAUAAGUGCUCUCAAUAUGCAAAAUCUGUCACAUAAGCGAGUUAUGCAUUUAUCUUAUAAAUUACAAUUAAUUUUGCAUUAUCUUAUGCAUGUAACCAUAGCACACCAUAUAUUCAUGUUAGUCAUCCUUCACAUUUUUGUUCGAAAUAACAUUUUUAAUUGUAAUACAAAAGUUUUUAUUCUAUUUUUAGACAUUUUCUUUUAUUGAGUUGUAAGUUUAUACUUCCCUUUCAUUAGAGUUAACAACUACUUACGCAUCUUUUCAGAAAGUUACUGCACCAACGCGCGGGGAGAGAGUCAUCCUCACUACUCAUGUCCAAAUUUCACUCAAUGAAGAAGACACCCGGUCCAACGAAUUUUAAAUUCACAUUAUGUUACUUAUGUUUCAAAACUAUUUUACAACAAUAAAUUAAUAAAAUAAAAUAAUUUUUUUUAUGUUUAUAUUAAUGCUCAUAUAUUUAAUUGCAAUAUUCACGUUCCAUAUAACCAAGUAUCAUCUAAACAUAUUGCCAUCAAUUCCUACAGCAACCCGCGGGAAAUUGUCUAGUUCCAAUUAUGGUCGCUCCUUCUCUUUCCCCUGUUUUGUUUGUUCAGUGACAACUCCUUCUGCAGUUUAUCCCUUGUAUUUGUAACAGUGAGCCUCAGCGUGGAUAUCGGUUUGGCUUUCUUCGUACAACGACAUGAAGGGCUGAGUAUCUUUCUUGGUGGCCGGAACAUGGCCAAUUCAUGCUCCAGGGUGAGCAAUUCAAGCCAAUGCGAGGGGUCCUCUCCGGAUCUGGAGAAGCGGUCCUUUACGGUUUCCACCUUCUUGGGUAGAUGUGGACGCGGUUCAUCGUUGCUGGGCUUUGGCGUCGUCAGUUGCUCCUCCCUGUUUGCUCUAUUGGGACAAGUCUACUUGGAGGACUCCGUCAACUACAAGCUAGUGUUUAUUUAGAUUCCUUAUAUAGGGCUUGUAGUCUUUGCUGUAAGCUGCAUCGGCAACACCGUGUAUCUGCUGUUUUUCUCUUCUGUUCCUUGUUGGUUGUAUUGGUGACCUUGUGUAAUUCCUGACCGGUUGAUGACUUUGUUAAUUCAAAGCAGGGCUCUUCUUGAGCCUUCGUUCCAAAAAAAAGUACUACUUGAUAAUAUGAAGCACAAAUUAUAAAUAACUGGUCAAGUACAUUGAUCCACAGGUAGCAUGCUGGUGGUCAGCAUCUAUUUAUUGAUCCAUGCUUAUUGGAAGUACUUAUUCAUCAGCAUCCACAAUGCAUCCAUGUUGCCUUUGCUUGCAAAGCUAGCUAGCCAAUGUGGGGAAUGGACGCGACAGUGUCGACGAAGAUGCGGACACGGUUGGUCCUGAAGUCGAGGGUCACCGGCGAGCCGGCUGGGAGGACGACGAUGUCCGCUUCAGGCAUGUCCUUAAGGAUGAUCUCCUUGGCCUCCUCGAUGGACUUUCCCACUACCUCCGGCCAUGACGUCUUCUUCUCCUCUCCGGCGGGGGCUUUUGGGGCGGCGCAGCUCAUCCUCGAUUCCGCGAGCUGCAAAACAAUUGAUCGAAAUAGUUCAGUUCAGAGACUCCAGAUCACAAUAACAGUUGAACCAUAGGUCAGACUACUUAAGACUACAAAUCUUUAUGUACAAAAAGCAUAUGUGACUAGGAACUUAAUACUACUCACCAGCUAAAUGGGAUCGAGCUUACCCUGAACUUGACUGAUAUGAGUAUUUGCAUAACCCAUUGCUUGUAUGCCUAUUUAUAGGGAAGAUCUAUCACGAGAGAAGAUGAAGAUAGGAUGCUCCCACAUGUAUGCUGACAGGAAGGAGAGAUGAUAAGAUGCUCUCACACAUGCAGGCGUGGAGCACGAGUAAUUGUUUCGUUGCGCUAACUGGCCGCAUAUGCAGAGAAGAUGCAUGCAUGCAUGCAGCGUGCGUGGUACACGAGGCGGUGGCUGCUAAAUUGGCCGCAUCUUGAUUUCGUUCUGGAUAACACGUAUGCUGAAGAAGACGACAACGUACCGCAUGAUUCACGGGUUGAUCGACGUGUAGAUCAUGCGAGUACGGCGUUUCAUAUAUAUUUUUUAAUCGGGCUAAUCCCCUUUUCAGGAGUAGUAUUUAUAUUUAUUAUAUUUACUAAUUAAAUGCAUCAUACGAGUCUUCACGUUAAUCCGCAUCAUUAAGAUUAAUUAAACUAUCAGAUCUUAAAUAUACGGUUAGGAUUAAACAAUAAACAACUUUGAUAGGACGUGACAACAAAUUGUAUGUGCAAAGAAAACAUACAUGCAAAGUGGAAUGGAAAAAUAAACGCAAAAGAGAUGUUUGCUACUAGGACAUUCACUUCAUAUACUUACGUCUAAGAUGUCUCGCAGAAUAAAAUAGUCCUCAAUGCCCACGCAGCCACGCUGUAAUUGAGGCCAAUACAAAAUCGACUUUCCUUCUCCCGUUCAUUAUAAACACAAGGGAAAAAAAUAUGCAGAGAGGAAAAGCCUCCUAUCUCCACUCUAGAAAAAGAGUCCGUGCCCAAAAUCCAACAAAUACACAUACCAAGUGCAUGUUCCCCAGAAAAAUAAAGACACGUACAGUUGUUUUCUUAAAAGAUGCAUACAAAUAAAUGUUCCCGAAAAAAGGCAAGCGUUUCUUUAAAUCGUGGUUGUCAUGUCCUAACUUGAGUGUGCACUCGCCGCCAAUCCUGUAGCCAUGUUCGUCUCGCCUUCGCGUUUUUUAAAGAUAUUGAUCCAAUGGCUACGUUUGUAUAUCCAUGAGCGUUUCCCGUCGAGUUGUUUCUAUCGACUGAUUCCAUCACCAAAGACCCAAGCCCCACGUAUGAAUCUUCUUUCGGUAUGAUUCAAUCACCAACUCAAGUGCCAACUCCUUCCUACUCCCGACUACCCCAAGAAUCACCCGACCACCAGCCUUUGUAUUCAUCUAAUAAUAUUUUAUUUUGUAGAUUAGGGGGCUUAGUUUGUUUGUAGAUUUUGCAGAGGUAACCAUCAUGUACGUUAAAGUUCCACUGAACAUGCAAUCGAUCUAAAAAAGGCCACGGUUCAGUCCGGUGUCUGACUAUCAAUUUGUUCUGCAAUCUUUUAAACUCUUCAUAUUUAAGUUUCGGCCGCCCUACAAGCUGCAAUACAAUAUCUUUUUUUAUGUCAAUUAGUAUAUUGAUCACAUGAUUUAAACAGAUCGGUCACCGGCAAUCAUCGUGCAGGCAUCCAACUAUUUUAGUUAAGCAACGUGUAAUUAGAAUUCAUGCCUAAUUAAGCCUUAACUAUUUUAUUAUUGACCCAUGGGCCAGGACCACAUAUUAUUAGUACCAAGGAGAUACCAUCACGGAAAAAUAUUAUAUUUCUAAAAAAGUAAACCUUAAGACAUACAUUAUUUAUAUUUUAGUUUUACAUAAUUUUCACUUAAAUAUAAUUUUUUUAAACAUGUAGUAUUAGUGUGCUUUGAAUGCUCGCCCGUGCAGGUAGCACGGGUUGCUGACUAGUACUCCCUCCGUCCCAAAAUUAUUGUCUUAGAUUUGUUUAGAUAUGAAUGUAUCUAGUCAAGUUUUAGUAAUUAGAUACAUCUAUUUCUAAACAAAGUUAAGACAAGAAUUUUGGGACGAAGGGAGUAUUAUAUAAUGCAUUGUGGAGUUAGAGGGUGCUUGGAUACGUCUUAGUCCCCUGACUAAAAGUAGUGGGACUAAAACUUGCUAGCCUCGCCCAUGCUUGGAUUUAAAUACUAAAAAAACUAAAAUCAAGUUAAUGAACAUUUAUUAUCCUCAAAAUCCUCCAAUCCAGAACUCGUCUGUGUUAAAGAAGAGGAAUUAAAUGAGGAGAGAGAGGACUAAUCCACAUUUUAGUAGGGGUACCCCUGACUAAAAAAAUAUAGUCUCAAGACUAGUUUUAGCCCCUCUUUAGUCAGGGGUGCUUGGAACUUUAGCCUCUUAAAGAGACUAUUUUUAGUUAGACUAAAAUAAGUUUUUUGGAUCCAAGCACCCUCUUAGUAUCAUAUACUGCUAGUGUGAGAGGUAAGAUACAUUGCAUUCAGUGAUUGUUUCUAAACCAAUUAGUACCUAGGAGGACACAUUAAGAGGCAGUGCAUUCGGAAUGCCCUCAUAAAUAAGUAGUGAGAUAGGCUACAAGGUCUAUAGUGGGUCACCUUUGGGGGUGUCUAUAUAUUUGAUGGUUUGGACUAUUAGAAAUAAACUUGCCAUUCUGCAGAUCCAUAUUUCAUUAGCCACCGACGCAAUCUUCAAAUUGCGAACUUUUUGGUCUUGAGCAAGAGGCAAGAUACGGAGGUGAUAUGUGUAUUGUUUUAGGAAUUUCAUAGCAAUGAAUGUGUAUCUAGUGACAGUAUAUAUCUGGUGGUCACCAUGUACUUAUUCAUCCAUUGUUGAAAUUAUUACAUCGCCUUCAGCAUACGACACGCACACAACACGUACACGACACGCCUGCCAAAUGGACUUCGCUCCUAGCGAGCAAAUCUAGCUAGCCGAUGUGAGGAGUGGUCGCGACAGUGUCGACCAGGACGCGGACACGGUUGCUCCUCCAGUCUGCGGCCACCACGGAGUUGGCGGGGAGGACUUUGAUGUCCGCUUCAGGCAUAUCCUUGAGGAUGACCUCCCUGGCGUCCUCGAUGGACUUCCCCACUAACUCCGGCCAUGACGACUUCUUCUCCUCACCGGCGGGGCAUCUGGUGGUGGCGGCAUCCAGCGAGCUCAUCUUCGUCCGUGCGCGCUGCUGUAAAACAGUUGACCGGCAUAGUUAGCUCACUCCUUCCUCUAGCUAAUAAGGGAAAUGGAUAAAACCAACGCUAAUGCUAGCCGUCGAGAGAGAUCUGCGGACUAGUUACCAGCUAAAUGGACCUUGAUGGAGCUUAUUCUGAACUUGACUGAUAGGAGUACUUGCACAACGUACUGCAUCGUCUAUGCCUAUUUGUAGGUGAGAGAUCUAUCACAAGAGACAAGACGAAGAUAGGAUGCUCUCACGUGUAUUGGACAAGCAGGAGAGAAGAUAAGAAGUUCUCACGUGCAGGCCUGAACCACGAGUAAUUGUUUUCGUGAUGAUGACUAGCCGUCUACGCAGCGAAGAUGCUCAAGCACAUGCAUGCCCUAGUAAAAAAAUGACCUUACGUUUGGAUCAUUAGUUCCGAUUUGAUUUUGGCCUGGAAUUAAUGUAAUCAUUAGUCCCGGUUCCAAUGGUUAGGAGCGGAUGGGGACACGAAUAUAUUUAGUCCCGGUUCAUUUUGAACCAAUAGUCCCGGUUUGUGAUAUAAAUCGGGACUAAAGGUAUAGUGGGAGGCUAGCAGCACGCUGGGACCCUCACAAACCCAUUUAGUUCCGGUUUGUAUAACAAACCGGGAUUAGAGGUACCAUUUAGUCCAGAUUUGUAUAACUAACCGGGACUAAAGAUGUUCCUAUAUAAGCCCUUCGUUCACACCAAGCCUAUUUCUCUAUUUUCUCCAUUCCCCUCUCCGUUCAUCCCCUUGCCUCGAGCUCAUCAUCCAUUUUUCUACCAAGAUUUGUCAAGAUUUGAGGCACACCAUCUCUCCAAAUGUUCACAAAGGUUAGCAACUUUGUCCUUUCAUCUCUCAUUGCUAGAUUAGCUCGUGCAAUGCUCUAGAGUGAUUUGUGGGUUUUAGUUUGGGAGUAAUACUGUGGGAUUUUAUUUGAUUUAUAUGCAAUAUGAGCUCAAAUUAACUUCUUAGUUUGCAUACUGGGAGGACUUUGAUGUCCGCUUCAGGCAUGUCCUUGAGGAUGACCU